CUGUUAGUAUAAAAGCAUCAUUUCUCAAAUAUCUGCAACCAAGGAAAGACGGGAUGAUCCAACCAAAAAACCGAGUUAGAGAGAAGAGGGGGGAGUCAACAUAGUCUUCCUAUACUUACUAAACUAUUGAUGAUAUAUGUACACAUGUAUGUACACCUAUCUAAUAAAGAUCUACUUUAUGCUAAGCAGAAUUAAGCUUGCAAUUUUGUUAGCAUGGAAAUUCCAACAACCAGCAGGUAGAUUCUCCCCACAGGAGCCAAGGUCCAAAGUUUUCCGCACCAAGUAUAUAUCAUUCUACAAACACGUGAAAAGAUAUAGUAAGCAUAAAUUUACAAAAUUCACAGACUAAUUUAAUUCGUUGCUCAUAAUAACUAUGAAGUUGAGGCAAAUGAAAAAGAAACUAUCUAGAGCAAAUUGUACUCACCUCCCCUAAGGUUUUAUUAAAAGAAGCUCACAUCCCCUCUAGCUUGGGAAAAAUAUCCACCUCCCUUAAUGCUUGCAUGAGUAAGGCACUUCCCCCGUAAUUAAAUUUUUGGAUGUUCUUUCCUAAAAGUUUGUAUGUUUUUUACAAAAAGUUUUGGAUGUUUUAUUAAAAUUAUUUAAUUAGUACCAUUCAACCACAAUCGCAGUUGAACUAUUGAACUGGUGCAUCGACCAGUUCAAUAACAGGUCUAGUUAUCAAAAGUAAAGGCCAAUAUCCGAUCUACGGCAAAACUUUUAUAUACCAAAUUUCCGAGACCCAAUUAAGGUUUUCAACAGAUCACCCAGAACACAAGGAGAUAUAUUUUAUGUUUGCCCAAACCAGCUCAAAAAAAAUCUAUCAUCAUUUUCUCGAUUAUAUGAAUAGGUAAUCUGAUAAUCCAAGAAGAAAGUGGACUCCCAUAGUAACCAAGUACUGGCAUUGAAAUUGAUAUGGACAAAAACUCAAUUAUAGCAUGCAAACCUGAAACUGUACAAUUUCCACAUAAGACAUAGCAUGGACUAAAGCUCUUUUGAUUAACCAGGAGAAGUGUAUAACAAGAUAUAUUAGCACAUCGAGAACCGAUUCCCACCCACAGAGAUUUGUCCAGCCAAAUAUUCUGUAUUCACAAGAUCACCAACAUAGUGUUUUAGCAGCCAAGAAAGGAAGAAAAGGAAAGCAAAGACAGAAGAUAGCUUAUUGACAUGUCAGGCCUUACUAUUGCGACUAAACAGGUAUAAUUUCCACUAAACCAGGAAGAAGGAACCAAUAGUUGUCUGGCCAAGAACCUUGGAACUCCGGUCGAGACCAUGAGAAGCAACCUAAAACAAGAAAACAACCGUGUCCAUUGGUAUUAAAAAAAUAAAAUUAAAACACAGAUAAGGUGUGAUGUGAGUAUAGAAUAUUGCUUCACCAUAUAUGUCAAAGCAGCAUAACGCUCCAUGUUCAAGAAGAGUGGCUUGCCUCUAUUCAUUUCAAAAUCCUGAAGUGAAGAAUAUUACAAAUAAGAGAUAUUUUGAAGAAAUGAAGACAAGAAUCACAACUCAAAACAUAAAUUUCGCAAGAUAUAUUUGAAAUUAUAACUUCAGUAACACGUUAAAAGCCUAAAUCUAACAGAGAAUUCCAAAACAAGUAAUAACGCAUGCAAAGUUAAUUACUUUGCAAAAAGCAUAGAGACAUAAUGGAAAAGAGAGAAGAGACAGUCUGAAUAACUGAUACUAUUAUGAAGAUGUCAAAGGCAAACUGACCUCCUCACCAAAAGCAUCCAAGUAAGGAGAAGGCCAAGGGGCCUGGCGUGCAGAUCUCUGUAGUAGGAUGGUAGUUCUCUGUGAAUACACACGCAAUUCAUUACUCCCAAGGUAUCAGUGUAAAUAAGUAACUAAUUAGUAGUUACUUAAAGAAUAAAAAAUAGCAAGAAAAGAUGGCCGAAAAAGAAAUCCAAGGGGGGAGAUUAAAAUAUACUGAACAAGAGCAGCCUAGUGAUUUGAAAUGUAAGUUUAAGAAAGAAUGCAAUACCCUGGUCAACAGAAACACUCCAGUACCAGCUCCACAAGUUACGGAAUGAGUUUGACAUCCACUUUCCCUGAAAAUGCAACAAAACAGAUAUGAAUCCUUUCAAAUUCUCAUCAAUAAUCAAAUGCAUUAGUAUAAAUAAACCAAGGCCAACUGAAAUGGCUUGAAAACAAAUAUGAACGCUGAGAAAUAUCCGAACAUAAGAAAAAUUGUUGCGCAUCAGUUAACCCGCCUAAUUUGAAUGUCAAUGUAGCUAGGUGCAAGCUUACAGACACAAGGUUUACAAACACAUGUUAAGAGGCUCAAAUUAAAGAUUUAGCAGCUGCCAAUAAGCAUGUGAAAAAAUCCUGUUGAAUUUUGAACCCAUGGAAGAAUAAUUCCAACCACCUUUGUAAUAGUUUAGUACAGCAUAAGAAUCUGAGACAACUUAAAUGCUUGUGAUUAGCAUAAACGAUAAAUCCAAAGGAAAUUGGUGGAAAAUGAACCUGCAGCAUGAUUUCCAACUUGGGGAGCACAAUCUACCACACAACAGGCACAAUGCAGGAUCAUCAAGACGUCCUUUGCACUCAGGGCAGCGCUGUUUGACACACCUGUAUAUGAACAUGAGUGGUAGUUUAUAUUAAAAAGUAGUAGUGAUUGUAGUAAUAUGGUACCUCACAUGACACACAAUUAAAAUACCUCUGCAAGAGAUCCUGAUAAACAUUUGGUAAUCUCAUUAACUCAAACGGAACUGCAGGAGUUACAUGAAUAUUACGUUGAAUUCUUUUUGAUUCAAAUUCCUUGCAAAAAUGACGACACCAAAUAGAGACUGAAGAUCUUGAAAGUUCAUCCUUGAGAACCACGUCCAGAGGGGGAAUUUUAAACAUAUUCUCAAGCUCUUGAAUUUUAGUAACCUCAAACUUGUUAAUAUCAACACUGCUGCACAUUGUGUCCCUUGGGAGAUGCCAUGAUCUAUUUGACGUAUUUUCCCCAUCACAGAAUGGUGCUGGGAUAGAAGAAUAGAGUAUCUUCCACAACAAAGCACAUCUUCGCAAAUAGGGUAAACUAAACCUCCUAAUUGCAUCUUUAAUAUCAACAUUAGCAUCGAAAUAGUUUGACACAAAAUACUGUGAAGCGCAUCCAGACUCUCCCAUAAUUUUAUUUAUGUCAGUGAUCAUGCAAUCUGAAAGAGUUGAUUCACUUGAUGAUUUAUCCAGGGAUUUCUCAUGAUACAAAAUUAUAGCCUGUAUCCAGCAGAAAAUGGAUUAGGAAAUACGAACACUAUCAAGGAACACGUAAAAAAUGAAGUAUAAAGUACCAACCUGGGUUACAGCUACCAUAUAGAAAGCAUGCACUAGCGACAACAAUGAUUCUUCACAUGAUAAAAAUGGGUGUGGCAGGCAAAAGAGAACCCACAUCAACGUUGAGAAAGGGUCGUGAGCAAGUACAGGAUCUGAAGCCUCAUUCCAAAAGCAUAUAUCAGUGUUUGACUGGUCCAUUUCAAUAUGCUUUAAGACAGAUAACAUAUCACCUGUGAAUAUUUAAUGGUUACAAAAUAUUACAAUCAGUAGCAGAUAAAAACAGGGAAACACUUCAAAAAAAAAACUUGAAAAUAAAUUCAAACAAAAUCUUGGUAUGCAGACCAUGCAUACAACUAAUUGAAUUAUUAUUGUUAAUAUUAUAAUUAAAUUAGGAGUUCAGAAGCAAAAGAAGCCCUCAUUUAAAAUUGCUUUGAUAACUUGUCAUUUUAGGUUUGACGAAAGGAAGAAAUAGAAUUCCAUAAAUUUAUUCUAGAAGAAUCUAAGGUGAUACACUUUAUAUGAAAACAAGCGUAGAAAACAAAUCAACUUUAAGCCAAACAAAUUUCAAACAGUAAAAAAUUUGUCUUAUGAAACCAAUAAAUUUGAAACAACAUCAGCAGCGACGAAGAAUUUCCCUUAAGCCAAUGGAUUUGAAAGCAUUAAAAAAAUACUACUGUUAAAUGUGGAUUGGAUUUCAGCUGGAAUCUGUAUAAGGCAGAUACUAUACUAAUAAAUAUUGACAAGAUAAAUGUAGUCUCCUAGUUUUUUAAGGAUGUAAUUACAAGUUUUCUAAAAGAUAUAUAACCGCCAAUGAUUCACCUCCUACCUCUUUUAAAAAGAGAACUUUGUAAUUUAAUUUUCUGUAUCGGUUAAAAAAUACAAAUUUUCUUUUUCCUUUAAAGCUAUUAAUAGAAAGAAAACAGUGGGAAAUUAAAAUUAAAAUAGUGAACAAAUCCUUUUGGGUUUGAAGAAACAAAAAUAUGAGAACAAGAAUAAUACCUCUCCCAGAAAUAACAUUAUCUGCAUGACUAAGGGAAACCCCAGAGCAAAUUGAUUCUGCAAAGAGCUGAACACCUCUAAAUCUUUGAAGUACGUGAAUUGAAUUCUUACUUCGUGUCUUUUGAACAAGUUUCAGCAACAUGUAUAAUAUAAAGCCACUUGAAGAUUCAAGUUCUUUAUACAUGGCACUGAGAGCAAAGUUUGGAGUCAGAGAAGUCUUUCCACAACGUGCAACAAUCUCCAUUGAGGUCAAUGAGUACUUGAGAGUGUCCCACAUCAGCAGUGAGUGAUUAACUUUUGAAAACCUCGAUAACUUAUCUUGUUUUCCAGGGAAAUACAUUUUAGAAAGCCCCAGUGAAAAUUUUUCAACAUUUGGUCUAGUUUCAUCAAUAUGAUGUAAAGGAAUAGCUUUUAGGAAUUGAUCUUUCCCAACGGCAUUGGCAGCAGACUUUAAGAGGUUAAGGGCUUCUUGAAUGCGAAGUGAAUAAGUCGCGCCGUUCGAAUCAGCAAAGGGGGAUGUACUAUGUAUUGAACUCGCACUCAAGACAAGAGGAGUGUGUAAUUCUCCAGGUAAAGUCGGCAAGACACCAUUAACAAGUCGGCGGCACACUGGGCAGAGAAUCUCUCCCUUAAAAACAAUAAAAGGGAAAAAAAAUAAGAGUAUUGCAAAAUAAUAACGUCAAUAGAUAGCAUUCAUCAACCCUUUCAAAUUGAUAAAAGAAAUUAUAUAAAAAAAAUAAAAAUAAAUUAAACCUGAUCUGGGUCAACAAUGUGUCCUCCUUCAAAAACAAUUCUUCUGACAGACCUGUCCAAGCAGUAGAUAGCAUAUCAGAGCAUCUUAGAAACUCAGUCAAAAUAACAAUAUAAUAAUAAUAAUCCCUCCAUUGCAAAACAAAAACUUGAAAAUCUAUUUGAAGCAUUUAACUAUCCAUGUAUUGUGAAUGUGUGUGGAUGUGCGCGCACGCAUAAAGGUUCAUUGGAUUUGAUUUGAUUCAAUAACUCAGUCAGCCAUGUGUAUUAAUAGGUCCUGAGCUUCUUGAAUCGGCAAAUAAAACAAAUGGAAUAGAAGCCAGGCUUUUGGAUGAUGAUAAUUGGGAGUAGAAAAUAAAACAAAUGGUUUUAGAUAUUAAAUUAAAUAGCAAACAAUUGAAUGGAAUAAAAACUUUUUUAAAAUAGGACUAAUGGUAAUUUUUAACAGUUUGACAUUGGUUAGAAAAAGGAAAAAAAAAUAAUACAUUUCCAACAUGGGUUUCAAGCCACCACUAGACGACCAUUCCAAUGUUCAGCUUUAAUAUUUUUUUGAGGAUAAAUGUUUCAACCUUUUGAAGAGACGUCUUCUAAAACUUAUCUGUAUUCUGCUGCGCCGUAAAACGGUGACAGUUGGUCUACUAAGUAUGCCCUAACAUAAAGACAGUAUGUCUACUAAGUACGUAUGUUAAGAAAGACAAAAUAGAGGCAUGUGUUUUGCAACUACACCGCAUUCUUAUUUCUUAAUAUUUAUGCUUUGAAUGUAAGAAAUAUGAAGAUACAGUUCACGAAAUUAUUGAAUUUAUAUGAUAUGAUAGGACACUGCCAAUGACAUCACUUCUCAAUGCAGUCUAUCCCACGAAGCGGGAAUAGGCUUUGGCUGUUCUCCUAUAUUUGCAUGUGGCUGUUCUCCUAUAUUUGCAUGUGGCUGUUCUCUCCUAUAUCUACAUAAUAUACUGAGCCUAGACGUCUACAAAUAAGCAUAACAAGGAAGUAUGCACUUCAGAUAAGAAUUUAAAGGUCUAUUUUAGUAAAAAAAAGGGUCAAUAAAGGGAUUAAUGUUGUGAUUAGUUAAGGGUAAGCCUUUGUACAGGCUGUUACUUCUGUUUGUUACUUUCAGUUUAAGUUAAUUAGUUGGUUAGGGUUAGUUAGUUUGUUUUGGCUAAUCUCCCUUCUCUAUAAAUAGAAGAAUGAGAUAAUCCUAUGCAUUGUUUAUCCUUCUGCUUAGAAUUUUGAGUGGUGUACCCAGAAUGAAGAGGGCAGUCUAUUGUAUAUCUUUUUCAUUGUUCAUAAAUAAAAUCCAGGGACGAAUAAUCCCCUUUAUGUUCCUGUUGCCUCAAAGAAUACUAACAUCUAUACUGAACCUGAACAUAGCAACACACAUUUCUAGUGAAAGAGGAAUGCCCAUUCUCAUGAACCAGGCACGGAUGAAGAAAUCAUGUAUUAGUGCAAGUGAAUUCAAAGAACACAUUUGGAAGUGAAUUUAAUCGAGAAUGAAAUUAUAAAAACAAUAAUCUGCAUAAUGGUUUCUUGAUCUGAAAGGGGCGAGUUAUAAAUAAAAAGGAAAAGUUCAAUAAUGUUAAUGCAUGGCUGCUUUGACAUCACUAGAGGCAGAGGAAAACGUAGAAAAACUAUAAGAGAAACUAUAAACAAAGAUCUAGAGAUUAAUGAAUUAGAUAGAAAUAUGGUAUGUGAUAGAACAUUAUGGCGUUGUUUGAUCCAUGUAGCCGACCCCACUAAGAUGAGGCUUGAUUGUUGUUGUAUAGUUGCUUUGACAAAAUAUUUUUCCUUUUUAUUUACAAAAAUGACACAUUUUUUCUGUUUUUAAAUAAAAUACACGAAAUACUAAAAAUAUAAACAUUUUCUGAAACUAAAUAUACACUUAAACAGUUAUGCACAAAGAUCAUCAACAUAAGAAAAGGUGAGUUGUGUGGAUAAAGCUAAAUGAAACGUACCUUUCUUUUAAUGAACUCAAAUAUCGGUUAAGACACCCUUGAUGUACAGCAUGCCCACAAGAAGAAAGAUGAACUCCAUCACAAUCUGUUGGGCCAAAUCCAUCAUUUGAUAGAUGCGGUGAUGUUGAUUCUACAGAAGCAUUCUCAUUACUAGCAUUUCCAGAUGCAGAAGAAAUCUCCGACAUCUCUUUCACAACAUCAGCUGCAUAUUUCCCAAGCAACGCACAUUCAGUAAUUCUAACAUUUGAGUUCCCUUCGGCAGUUGAAACUUUCUCAUCCUCAUUCAUCGUAUUUGAAGAUGACAGAUCAUGCAUUUCGUCACGAAUGGAAACGUGCAUAACCUGCUCUAAUGUAUCGAAAGUAUAUGGUGAUUUUUCUUUUUCAUCACAAGACAUGUCUGGGAGUUGAAAAUUUUCCAAUGCUGGGAAAUGAUUCUUGAUAUAUUGUAGAAAAGUAUUAACUUCCCCAGGUUGCGCACUAGAUCCUAAUUCACUGGCCGCAUUCUGAACUAACUGAGUUGAGUCAGAAGACGAAGUUGAUUCCGAACUACCUGAAUUCUCACGUGUGUCUAUCUCCUUGGUGUUAGCAACAGGCAUAUGUUCUUUAUCUGAUCGGCGAAGUUGGGUCCAUGAUGGAGGACCUCUGUCAACAGAACUAACAAGCCUAGAUUUCUUGUACAUAGAUAAAGGCAGGGAUUAGAGGACAGGAUAAAAUAAGUGUAUCAAAUUCAAAAAAUGCAGCACAAAAAACUAGAUACCUGAAGAAGAAUCAAAAAUGAAAUUGGAUGCCUUGAACUAUGGUCGUGGCAGAGACAGCAAACAACUUGUUUGGAAUCUUCAGAAUCAUGUUCAGUGUUUAAGUCUUGUUCAGUGUCCAAGUCACCUUCAUGACCAAGUUGAGAACCAUCAUCAACAUUUGAUUCAACGCUAGCCAUAAAUUUUGUCUGUUGGGCUCUCAUCUUCUCCUACAUUAAAAACCAAGUAAACCAAGAGAGAAAAUUCAAAUGGUGAAGGCAAUUAAAUAGGCACCGCAGAACAGGUCAACCCCAUUCUGAUCUAAAAGUAAAUAAAUCAUGUCUAGCGCAAUAGAGAAUAUUUGCAACCAAAUGCCUUCCUUAGCCUGUAACUGUAAUAAAAUAACAACCUGGAAGAUAUGGAAAGCAUAUCAUUCUUAAUAUUCAAGAACUUAAAUGUUUCAAAAAUUAAUAGUAUAGCAAGUAUUUUAUGCAAUAAAAACACAUGAAGGUCAUCAGACAGAAACAUUAUAACACCUCUUUAAUAUCAAUCACUAAAAUAGAGAGUAUCACAACAACUUACCAUUAUUGCAGCCUGCCUCUCUCGAGCUUUUGCCUUGCGUUUCUCGGUGUCAGAAGCUGACAGAGAGACACUGGAGUCUCCAGCUGGAACACAUUCCGGAAUAUGAUUCACCACUUUAGGGGCAAGUUUUUGUAACUUAAUCAUGCAACUUUCAUCAAGCUCAGCAAAUUUUUUCAGUAAACUUUCAACUAGAGCAGAUAAACCACCAGCUUCUACAUUGCUGUCAUCAUUUUCCUUUCUGUUCAUUUCCAUCAAUAAAACAAGAAGAGACAACAAGCUUUGUUCCCCGACACCAUAAAAUGAACUCUCAUCAAUUAUUUCUCCAGAUAAUGCUAUAAUGGGAAUUUGUGCAAUAUUAUUAAAUGCAUUAUCACUAUUUUCUUUCUGCUGAAAGCAGAUAUCUAAGGAUAAUGAUAACAAAUGUAGCGCCGGUAGAAGAACAUUAUCAGGAGCACGAGAUUCAGCAGAUUUAAAAGUAACAACAGCGUAAAAUAGCACGGCGCGGAUAAUCUCAAGGACAACUUUACAAGUGGCUAUUCUGGAUAUCCCCUUCAAGGGAGGAUAUAUGGGGGUCCAUUUGGGCAGCUGAGUAGUCAGUGCAGAGACGCUGCAGAAGCGCAGGUAUCUUUCUUCAGCAACUUGUAAAUCUUUCGAAUUCCAACGCGGAUGAUACAAAUCCAGUUCUUUCCAAAGUAGCCAUCGUAGAGAAUACAUACCCUAACAUAAGAAAAGAAAAUUACAAAAAGACAUGGGUACAAAAGAAAGUUGUAAAUUUCUACAAGAGUCUACAAAACCUGAUUAAAGCCAGAUGGAUUGGAAUAUUCAGCAACAGUAUCCAAAACAUCUUGAAGCUUGUCAAACUUGGAGAGAUCACGAGGAAGAGACUUCACCAAUUGACUAUGAGUAGCAUCUCCAAUAGAUAGCUUAUAAAUUAGUUCUCUUUUCAAACUUUCAGCAGUAUUUAGCCCACAAAAGCGCCUCUCUUUUACUAUUUGAAUAAUAAGAGUAAGCAUUUCUUGGACUAAAACAGGUUCAUAUCUGAAAAUAAGAACGAAAGAAAAUUAGUUUGAAAUUACAUAAAAUAUAUCCAAAAGUAAGGUCUAUGAAUGGUGUGCUUAUGGUAUGUAGUUAUUUGCUGUAUGUGGUUGGAGAUGAUGCUGUGUUUCUGCUUAAUUUUUCUCGGUAAAACAGUGAGGUUGCUGCAUUGUGACUUGGAGGUCACGGGUUCAACCCCCACCAGGUGGGAGCCUUGUGCAUAUGACUGCCUGAUCAUUUUUAAUAUAAAUUAGUAUUCUUAGAAACUGUCUUUUUUAAGGGGUUUCUUUGUUGGGGUACGCAGAAUGACAGGCUUUACCCACUAUUCUUUUUCCUCUAGUAUAAUUUGAUUAUGUUAUAUUUUUUAGGAGGAUUUCUUAUCAUUUUCUUCUGAACUAAUUUCAGUCUGAAUUAAUGUUCUAAAGAGAAAGACAUAAAUAAAAAUGAAAUUUUGUAAUCCAUACAUUGUACAUUUCAUCAAGCUAAAACUAAUAUACUGGUCUAUCUUAAUGUUUAUAUGAUUUGUACGCCUGACACAUUGCACAUAGUUACUCAUUGAAUUAAAGCAAUUUUCAACGUGCAUUAUGAACUGCAUUAGUUUGAGUUGCAUAAGAAUAAUGUUUGUAUUAUAACUGUUGGGCCUAUAUGUAGAGAAGACCACAGAGGCUGCAAAAUCAACACAAUUCAUGCUUCAAAAAAAAGGUUUAUUUAAGGAAAACAAUUAAAGCAUGUCUUAAGAACUUAUAUCAACACAACAAAAAUGGUUUAUUUAAUGCUUCAUAAAAAAUUGGUUUAUUACAAUUAAAGCCUUAAGAACUUAGUUGAUAUUAACUUGAACAAUACAGCAUGUUUAUCCAUUUAUAAAACACCAUAAAUUUAUGAAAAUUGAAAGUUUUUCGUGUUGCAGAAGAAGACAUACUCGCUAGACUGUUCAAGAUUCAGGGAUAAGUAGUUUGCCAGUCCAAAGCGUUCUAAAACUCUCCUGACAAAAAGAUCUUCUGGAGCAAGUGCAGCACAACAUUGAAGAAGAAAUAGAUCAAGCUCCAGACCUUGUUCAGACCUGUAUCAUUAAAAGACUGAUAUAACAUAAUAGAAUUGAUAUGUUUCAGACCUUAAAUACUCCCUCUGUCCCUAAUUAUAAGCACUCAUCGAGAGAGAAAAAAUUCCCUAAAUAUAAGCCACUUUCCAAGUUCCUAUGUGCAUUUUUUUUUUUUUACCAGAUCAAACGCUCCCUUAUACGCGAAGGGUAAUUUAGUAAUGGUAACACAGUACACGCAUAAUUGCACCAACAGCUUUUCCUAAUAUAUGUGAAAAAUGUCAAUGGGUGCCUAAUACGCAGCAUACAAAUUAUACUAAAACAAAAUUGACUUACCAGCGCACUGAUCUAUACCAUUCACAUGAUAGUAAAGCAGCAUCUCCAUUUUUACGCCACAUUCCAGCAUGGACUUCAGCACAAAAGACCCUAAUUCGCAACGGAUUCUCCAUUAUAAAGGCAGAGAAACCAUAUGGAUGACUUCCUCGUAAAGCAUGUCCAAAGAAGUCGCUAUAGAUUGUUGAUGAUGAAUUUGCAGCACAAAUGUCAGUCUUAUCCAGCACUUCAGAUUCACAAAAAUAUCUUCUUAGUGCCUUUUGUAAAAGCAUUGAAAGGAAUCUGUGAAACGGAAUGUGAACAGAUAUAUUUUGUGAACUAACAUCAUAGGCUAUUUGUGGCCAAUCAGGUGAUGAUAGAAAACGUAGCCCAUCUGAUUCCACAGGAAAAUCUUCUUCCAUGGCACAAUCAUCUGAUGAUGUGAGCAGAUAUUUUUCAGAUAUUCUAACAUUAUCAGAAUUGGAAUGAAAGGAGGUGUUUUCUGAACCUUCAUCAUUUGUUUUCAAUUUACCCCUUCUAAAAUUAGAUAUUGUUCUUUUAAAUGCUGAAAAAUUAUCAGUACUACUAGGAGGUACCUCACGUGCACUCUCAACUCCUAACCAAUUUUCAACAGCCCUUAAACACUCAUAUAUCAACCAAGUGACAGAAAAUGGAAGCAGAUGAGAAGAGCCAUCAGAUUUUAUCUCAAGAACACUUGGUGAAGCAAAGACACUACUUCUACUAGUCACGCUACAGGCAGAACUUUCCUGGGAUAGUCGCCCUACCUUAGCAUGUCUUUGAUCCUCCCCAUCAUCCGAUUCAUUUGUAUUCGAGCUCCAAACAAUUUCAUCAUCCACCUCUCCCUUGCUAGCAUCAGAAAAUGCCCCAUCCACAAAUAGAGAGUGAAUAUUGGCUAUAAAGUGUCCUAAAGCAAAAGGCAAAUGGACAUUCUCAUUUUCUUCUUCUAUGUGUUGACCUGUUUCUCUCUUUUGAGGGUUCAUUCCUUGCACAUAGGACAGAAGUUUCAACCAAGUUCUUGAGAAAUCUUGAUGGUUAUUGGUUACAUAUUUGGACACCUCUGCAUGACUCAUAACAAACCGAAUAUCUUCAACAACACGUAUUGUCAUCUCAUACAAAUGUACCCACCUGGAAACCUGUAAAAGGAUCGUAUAUUUCUUAAUCAAAACAUAGUGAAAGAAGAUUGAAAACAUGAUUAUAAGAAGUAUAACUGCAUUUCAUUUAUCGAAACUUCUUAACCAUCUUAACAGCUAGAUCCACUCAAAAUCAUCUACAAGUAUAAAAUCAAGCAAGUCGCACACUCGGUAUACUUGACAUAUCUCAGACAUCACAUCUACCCGAGUUGUAAACUUUAAAGAGAUGUAAUCGUUCAUUACCUGUAAACAUCCAUUUUCAGCACAAGAAAUGAAAAUAUCUUCCAAACAUCCAAACAGCAUGGUCAGUAGGUUGACUUCCUUCACAAGACGAGGGGUAAGAGUGGGCACUGUAAGUAUCUGCACAGAGAACAUGGACACCAGUGGAUAUCUCUUUAGUGGAAGGUCGCUGCCCUCUUUAAUGGCCUCCUUUAUAACACUCGGAUAGUAAGUGAGAAAAACUUUAGCAAACUCAUACUUAAAAGUAGGUUCUCCCAACAAUUUCAGGAACAGCUCAUGGAGUUUCUUUACAACAUCAUUAGUUGAAAACCUCUCAGCUCUCACCAGGACGCUCAAUAAAUCAGUAGAGGAAAACAUCAACCUAGCAAUAAAACUGAGCAAACUCUCACUAUGCUUGCAAAAUUCCAAAAGCAUGUCAGCCAUAGCAAAAGUUAGGUCAUUUGCAGCCUUCUUUCUUUUCGGAACAGAAUCACUCGCAGUCGUUAGUCUAACUUCCCAACAUUUGAAAAGAGAACGAAGCACAGGAGAAACAGUGUUUUCAACUUCGUCCGGAAGCGGUUGCACAUGCUCCACACCCUUAUGCAUUGAACAAAACCCCUCUCGCUUCCACGCAGUCACAUCCCCACAAUCACAACAACCACCACCCGUGUAAAUGACAGAGUAAUCAUGCCCAGUGUGAUCCCCAUUCUGAAAACAAGGAACACAGAUAGCGCAAGUCGGGUCAUGUUCACAAGUCCUACACCUAUAAGCAAUAUCAGUACGUCCCCAAACCGCCCCGCAAACACCUCCCUGACCAACCAUACUAGAAAGGCGUCUCAAAGCAUUUCCCGGGUCAUCCUCAAACAUCAACCAUUGCAACCACACCAAACUCUCUUGAAACCUCUUCUUCAAACCCAUCUUCGAAUCUUGAGAUACUGCCAGUUCCGCAUCAGCAGGCAAUACAACAGACACUAUAUAAUCAAUCACCUCCUUCUUCUCUUUCACAAAAGCAACCAAACCAGAUGGGGUAAGCUGCUCUUCAGGAACCCCAUACUGUACAAGCCUCUGAAAAUCAUACCAAAACCAUAAAUCAAACAUCCAUUAAAAUUUCAAUAUAAAAAAUUCAACAUUGGAUAAAUUUCACUAAACCUAAAAAAAAAAAAUAUAAAUGAACCAAAUUUCACUAAACAAUUAAACAAUUCAAAAUUGGGUAAAUUUCACUAAAUUAACCAACAAAUCAUUACUCAUUUCUUAAUUUUACAUCAUUAAGUGCAAAAUUGAAUAAUCAUACAGUGAUCAAGUGACGAAAAGUAUAAAUUUUCAAUAAAAAAACGGUUUAGAAUGAAAAAAUUACCCGAAUGAUUCGAUCUCGGGGUCUGAGAGGUUGAGAUUCAGAGGGAGAAUCGAUUUCCAUAUUCUCAGCCAUGAAAGAACGUAAAAAGCGAAACAAGGAGCGAGGAUGAAAACCAGAACCUUCACUCCCCAGGUUUGAUUCUGAGGAAUGGAAUUCUUCGCUUCAAUUCCGUGAAGUGAAGAAGAAUUUAGCGAGAAAUUGAAAACCCUAAUUGGAUUUCCGAAAAAUCCCCAAAUUGUGUGUGAAUCGCGUUAAUCGAAUACGAGACUAAACCACUAUUGUUAAUAUGAAAUUGAUUAAGAUGGUGAUGAUGAUGCUUCUUAUAUAUUUUUAUACGAUGCUAUUCAACUACUACACUCAAUUCUCGUACACUAUAAAUUCAAUAGAGUAAUGUUAUUUGAAAAUCGAUUUCAAUGACAACUUAUAAGAAAAGUAUCGAUUUCAAUGAUAACUUACGAGAAAACCAUAAUUUACAAAGAUAAUGAAGUGUUUGCACAAAAAACAUAGCAAUAGAGAAAGGUAAAAAUGUGACUGAAUGAAUAUGAAAGAGAAAGUUAUCAAAAAGUUAUACAAUUAUCAUUUAUUAUUUCAUGGAUGUUUUAGUAUUUUUUUUUUUUUUUUAAAUACAUGGGCUUAUGGGCUAGGAAAAAGAAAAACUACACAAUGACAAAGUUUGGAGAAUUGAUCUUCUCACUUUUGAUUUUGUUUAAUUCAACGUGAGUUAACUCACACUCGACGUUUUUCAAUACGAGUUAACUCAAGUUGGCACUUGUAUGAUCGAUACAACCGUCUUAAAAAGUGAUUAAAUUGAUUUUAAAAGUGUCAGUGUGUGUGUUAACUUACGCUAAAUUAAGGGGAUGAGCAAAAUCAAAAGUGAGAAGGGCAAUUUUCCAAAGUUUGAUGUUGUCUGUGAGCUUAACUCAGUUAAUCAAUCCAACAUAAUAUAUGUAGGGAUGAGGGUUUGUCCUUGUUGGUUUAAAUGAAAACGACGUUACAAAAACGGCCAAAGCUCUUACAAGACAAAGAGAAGGCAAAGAGGAAGUAGUGAAUCAUUCUAAAAGAAACAAAGAAAUUCUGAGUAUUGUUCAACGAAAUUAUCCUUUUGUGGCAAAGAUUCAAACGUAAAGAAAACUUGUGAUGCACUGGCAAAUCUCUUCAACAACGACUCUAUUCAAUUCUUAUAUAAAAUGACCCUAAACAUUUGAAGAAUAUAGAGAAUCACACGCUUUCAAAUUGUGCUAAAACUCUGUUCAAAUUUCAAGCCCACAUAAAUACUUUUAAAAAUUCUUACAAACUUUCAAUCUUAGAAUUUCUCAAGUGUUUAAAAAUCACUCUAAUCUUAAUUUAGUUUACCACUCUUUGAGUCUGAAGUGUAAACAUCAAUCAAAUUAUUUUUAAACUUUGAUUAUAAAAGUUAUCAAAGUGAGGAAGAAAAUCUUAGGCUUGUGUUUGUGUGUCUAAGUAAUUAUAAUCUUAUUUGAUUAUGGUGAAAAAGUCUUUCUUGUGUGAAGGGACCGGAAGUUAUUCCGAAUUUUGGGGUAAACCAGGAUAAAUAUUUAUGUAUAUCUCUUAUCUCUUUCUAUGUUUAUCUUUUGCACCCUCUAAUUAGUUUUAAACUUAUAAAUGAUUUCAGAAGGAAAAAAAUCUAACACAAUCGUACAAAAUCAAAGGAUCACAUGAAUCACACCUAAGAAAAUGUAAGGCAUCACACAAGUAUUUAACCCACGCUAAGAAUGGCAUAUUUUCACUUUCCAGUUCAUUGGUGAUCUCUUAGUUCUUCGCACAAGACUCCUCCUAGAAGCACAUUGAUCGAGCGAGUUAUAAACAACAACAAUUAAAUUAACAUGGAGCUCCACCAACAUGAACUCUCUAGGAGGAACCCACGACGAACCUUGCAACACACACCACAAAACUUCGCAAUGUAGGCACCACAACUCCACCAAAAACUUAGAGAAUCCACAUAAUCGUUCACCAUCUAAACCAUGAAUCAUAGUCGUUCACCAAGCAAAUAGUCAAAUGCCCAUACAAAAUCAAGGAAUCGGCUGAAUCAAAUCAUACCUAAGAGAAGAUAAAGUAUCAACACAAGUAUUCAACUCAAAGUAAGAAUGACACAAUUUCACUUCGCAAUUCAUUGCAAUCUCCUAAUUCUCUGCACAAGACUCCACCUAGCAACAGUACCACCACAUUAGUUGAUAAAGUUAUAAACAAUGAUUGUUGAAUCCAUAUGGAGCUCAACCACCUCUAUCCGUUAUCACGAGCCAACGACAAAUCUUGAACCACGCCUUAUAACUUUGCAAUGUAGGCACUAAGAAAAUGUGAGUUUCUAACCGCUAAACUAUUUAAAAAAUUAAAAAAACAUCACUUUGCAUGCAUUCAGGAAACUAUUUCAAAAAGGGAGUCCUCUCUACAAAUGGUAAUUAUGCUACUUUUUUUACGGUAAGUAAUAUGUUGGGAAUUAACGUGAACUCGCAUGUGCAACACAACUUUUUUGAAAGGAUGUGCAACACAACUAUAAGGACGAAAAGAAGACUAUUUUUAUAUGGUCUUCUCACAUAUCUUUUUUAAAAUAUCUUUUUCUCAUGUUAUAUAAUUCAAACUCUUUUAUAGAAAUUUUUGGAUUAUAUAAUCCGAAAACUUGUUUUAUCCAUCCAUAAUUUUAGAAUAGUGGUGUCAUAUAUUCUUAAUAUGACAUAAUUGAAAAUGACAAAAAAAAAAAUGUAAAGAGACAAAUAUGAUACAAAUGUUUAUUUGAUUAAUUGAUCAAUAUUUGCUAUUACAUUUACAUUACCAUAAUGCUUAUUACAAGAAAUUGUUAGACACUUAAAAUUAAUCUCUAAUGGAAGAAGAUGAAGGGGGAAGGAGACUAUGAUAAAGUUUUUUUCCUCUCACAUCCUAGAAAGGGAGACGAAGAGAGUUAAAGCUAAAUAUGAUGGAAGAAUGAGACUCUAAUGAACAAUCUUACACCUAAAGUCCUAGACAGAACAAACUUAUAUUGAGAAGAUGAUAAUUUACAAAGCGAGACCUUGCCCUUUGACUAUUCAUAUUAUCCCUAUAUAAAAAUAAAGAAACCUUGUAUUAAGCCAUAUUUAUGGUGAGAGGGGUAAAAAAAGUGUUGCUGACCAAGUUGAGUAUACCCCUCUCACCACAAAUAUUGCUUCAGUGAGAAAUAAAAUUUCUCCCCCAUUGUUUUCAAUGGUGCCAUAAUCAUGUUUUGCUUCCAGUCUUUCUCCCUCCGACCAAGUUGAGUAUGACUUAUAAACAGUGUACCCAACUAUCUCAUUUGGUCAUAACUCAAUAUGUAGUGAGGUGGUAUUUUUGGUAGAACACUAUGCUAAGAGGUUUCUUUUAUUUUUUUCUCAAUUUGCAAAAGGUGGAUAUAAUAUAAGGUCUUGCUGAUUGAUCUUAUCAAACACUCAUAAGGUAUACGAUGCAGUUCAAAAAAAUUACUCACACAUACACAAUGUGUACUUAUUUGACAAGUGCACUUCUUCAAUUAUGAAAUAUAGUGCAUAAAAACCAUAUACCAGUACUACAACAGUACACAUCUUCCUCAUCAUAAAGUUUAUUAUUACAAAAGUGACCCAAAAAUAAAAAAAAAACCAUUAGAUAAACCCCUAAUGCAAAUGCAAAGUCCUCAAGUUGUAUGAAAAGAUAGGAUAUUAAUAUGCAUCUAUAAGAACAUUUUUUAAUCAAAUAGGAACAAAGAACAAAAACUAACAAGGACCAUAAAACUGCAUAAAACUCAAUCACACAAAACCUUAACUAGAUCAAAAUGCUGAAAGUGAUGUCUGUCUCUCUUUCUAUCUAUCUUCCAUUUGAUUCAGCAUGCCUUGAUCUACACCCUACUUGUUCUAGAAACUUGGUAAGGCGUAAAUGCUUCGCAGCCCAUUGUUCAGUCAAUUUCUGCUCUUUGGUUUCAGCAUCUCUUCUCAGCCCUGCUAACUGUUCCCUAUAUUCUCCUUCAAUUCUAUCCAAAGCAACAGCUUGUUCCUCCCUUAAAGCUUUUAUCUUCGCUUCGAUUUCCUCCAUCUUCUCCCUCCUUCGACUCGCUUUCUCUGACUCCAACUGCAGCUCCACUCGGCUUAACCUCCAUGCCGCCUCUUUCUUGUGCGCUGCCAAUGCAUGAUGCACUUCUUCCAACUCCUUGCAGCAAUCAACCAAUUCAGACAUUACCAUGCUUUCGCCGUAACUUAGAACAGCGCCAUGUGGAGCUACGUUCCCAAGAACAAGAGGAGCGUUGUCCGGUCCUCGUACUGGUUGCAUCCACGGAGGAGGCGCUGCUACUGUCGAGGGAGAUAGGCUUAGUGUCACUGAUGGUGAAUUUGGCCUAACAGGUGCUGCAUUAUUUGAAUUCGAUAGCCAUGAAGGAAGCAAUCCCGGAGUUGGUGCUUGUGCAUCGGUAUGAAGAUAAGAGCUAUUGGAAGCAGCCAUGACAAAUGAAGGAGAUGGUCUCUCUUUCACUAGUUUCUCAGCAAAACUUUCGAGUAUGUGUUCGUACUUGCUAUCGUUAAUCGGGUCGACAGUUCUGUUAAUACUACCUUUUGUUUCUCUUUGUUGUUUCUCUUUGAAUACUUCCCACCACUUCCCUAACCUCUUAGCAGUUCGACCGGGAACUUGCGCGGCAAUUUUCUUCCAUUUGUUUCCGUGUGUUGCUUGAAGGCUAAUGACUAGACGCUGUUCUUCUUCGGUGAGAGAUCCUUUCUUAAUACCUGGCUUGAGGUAAUUCUUCCACCUUUCUAAACACGAUUUUGCGUCCCUGUUAAGAGGCGUGUUCAUGCGCUGAGACACGAGGUUCCAUUCUCUAGGUCCAUACUGUUUAACAUAAGCGCGUAAUAAUGCAUCCUCUUCUGCUCUCCACCGCUGCCUAUCUUUCAUAUCCGACAUCCGGUUUCUUGAAACUUGCAAUCUUCAUAAUGUCUCUGGAAAAUUCAUGACAAUUCAAGGGAUCAAUUCACUGUGAAACAAAGUAGUAUCAAUCAAAAGGUGGAAAUGUGAAGUUUCUAUAAUUUCUAAUCAUAGGUCCACAAUUAAACAAAAGAAGAUUAAUUAAUCCAAUCAGAAAUGUCAACAAACUUCAUCAAUUUAUUAAGCAAAAUAACACAACAGAUAUAAUUCUACAUGCUACAAAAUGCAUACAAAACAUUUAUGAAGAAUCUCAAGGAUCAAUCAAUACCCUUUGACUUCAAAGCAUUAAAAUUUCUCAGUUCAAGUACUAGUAAUGACAUCAAUUCUUUCUAUCAGUGAUUAAAUGCAAAAAUAUUUGACCACAGAUUAAUGUAUGAAGUCAAUAUGUCAAAUUGAAAUCACAUAAUCUAAAAUAAAUUCUGGUAAUUAUCAAUUCUGUUUCACAAUUUUGACUAGACAUAGAAAAUUUUAAUCAAAAUUUGUGGCCUCUACACUAAUAUAGGAAACACAGUAGUUACAAUUGCAAAUAGUAAUAAUUUCUUUAAAUAGAAAAUUUUGUAAGAGCUUUAAAAGCUGUUGUAACAUCCUAAUCAAGAACAAUGAAUGAAAACCCCACCAAAGGUAGAAAAGGCCAAAAACAAAAAAAUUGAGGAACAGUCUCACAGUGUUUUAAACAGCAUUUCAAGACAAAUUCUUAAAUUGAAAUUUUAGUUAGAUAUUUUUGUUGAAUAAUUGAAGUUUUAGAUUAGCAUCCACAUAAGUAAUAACUAAUAACCACUUAACCACUCAUAUCAGUCAAAAAACAGAACUAAACAGGGAUUCAGAGAGUGUGAAGCACAUCAAUUAAACACAGACACAAAGAUAUAAUGGUUGAAUUUUAAUACUUUGAUUAUGGUAAUUUUAAAAAAAAAUACAUGUGUUCAAAAUCAAUUAACAUAUCUAAAUUCAGGAAAACUCAAACAAUUUGAAGUAACAUAAAAAUAAAAACACAAAAACUGAAACAUGAAACACAAUAAGUAUACAAUAUAAAAGCAUAUAUAUACUACUAACACAUGAGCUUCAAGCUGAAAAGAGUUUAGCUUCCAAGAAAAUAAGUUCACAUGAACUUUAUAUAAAUGUAACAAAAUAACAAGACAAUGAUUUCAGAAACAAGACAUGUUGAACAAAAGAAGAACAUAAGAACAAGAAACUUUGCACCAAAAAAUAUACAAAAAAAUCAUGAUAUAUUUAGAAAAAAGAAAUAACAACCUUUGUUGUGUUGAAAGCAAAGUAAAAAAGAAAAGUGGUUAAAAAGAGAAGAAUGAGAGGAGAGAAUGGAGAGAAGUACCUCAGUCACAGUGUGAGUAUGUCUAAUAACAACCUAAGAAAUUCAGGUCCAUGAAACAGGAAGAAGAAGUUGAAAAAUGGGGUGUUCUUGAAAAAAGAGAGGAAGUGAAAACCGAGGUGCAGUGUAAUGCAGGAACUUUACCUUAUCAAUAUCAUGGUGUAGUAGUAGUAGAGAGAGAGAGAGAGGUUAAGGACCAGAGAGAGAGAGAAAAGUUUGAAAAGACAAGACAUGUAGAGAGAGACCCCACAAUAAGAGAAAAGAGAGAGAUAAUACAAAGAGAGGUACGUCAGAUUCAGCGCCUAUUAUGCGAGAAAGAGAGAAAGGUUAGGGCACGCGAGUGAUAAGGGACACACAUGAUCACUUACAGUCUAUAGAUACAUACAUGCUGUUACCCAUUCAUUAUAUAUUUCACUCUUUGUUUAUACACAAAUCACAUUUUUAAUUCAAAUUGUGAUUUCAACUAUUCUCAUUAGUUUAUCGAAUUAUCUAUCUUCGGUCGUUUAGCUAUAUAACUAAAUGUAAAAUCUAAUUAGUAAUGAGGGUAUUAGUAAUGAGGGUAGUUUGUGUCUCUAAAUUAAUUGUAAUAGGUUGAACUAUUUUGUUAGGUCUAAUAAGAGAUAUGUCAUUAACAUUGUUUAGCUAUUUAAAUGUUAUGUUACCGGUCAAUCGAGUAUACGAUGAGAAAUAAACCUAAACCUAAAAUUUAGACGGUCAUGAGUGUAGUUCAUGUCUCAUCAUGCUUUAUCAACGAUUGUGUCUCGAAUCCUAAAAGAUAUGUGGUUCGUGAUCAUUUAUAUAUUGAAUAUGUAAAAUAUGUUAUAAUUUGUAUUUAUGAGUAUUGGCUAAAUUGUUAAGAUCUCAUUAACAAAGAGAGAAGAAUUACAAUUCUUCAAGUCUCUUUUUUAGUGUAAUAUUUGUUUGCUUUUGAACACAAGAAGUUGCAAACAUAUUUCCCAAAUUGAUCAAAAUCUCUUCAUAUACUCUUCUUUUCCAAUUGAUCACCCUUUUGGAAAUAAUUUAGUUUUGCAUUGCAAAACUUGAUUUUGAGGUAACCGAUUAUGUGAAAUUGAUUUUGUCUAAAAGCUAGUCGAAGGUAAAAUGAUUUAUUUAUUAGUUUUUUUUUUUUUUAUAGUCAAAAGUUUAAUGUGUAUCAUUCGUUCAUGAUGAUAAUAUCUUGAAUAUAUGUUGGGUUAUCGAUCAAGAGAUAGAAACUAGCAAUUGAUAGAUGGGCAGGAUGGAUCCAUGUAUUAGAGUAUGUAGGCUUGUGCCUGUACUAAAUUUUGAGAAUUUUUUUAUUAGGUGGUAGAAAUAGAGUAAUAUAUAUAGUUAUAAUUGAAAUGUUGACUAAAUGGCCCACAUAAAUUAUAAGUCGUUUGGAGAAAAAAGUUGUCUUAAAUUAUAACUCGAUUUACAAUAACAAUGAAACAUUAAAUGCUUUUUUUCUUAGUGUACCUUCAAUUGUUUUCUCUUAUUUCAAUUCUUUCAUUUAUCUUUCGUAUAAUGAAGGAUAAUUUUAUAAAAUGACUUAUAAUUUCUCUCUCGUACAAUAUUAAUUAGAUUUCUUGAUUUGUAUGAAAUGAUCAAAAUACCAUAUAAUUUGAGACGAUUUAGUAAAAAAAAUUAUUACUAUUUAUAAAAAUAUACACUUGGUAACAUUCUCUAUAAUCUAAGAAUACUAUGUAAACUUUAGACAUUUUUUUUAAGGAAAACUUUAGACAUAUUUAAAAGUCUUGUAUGUAAAAUACUACAAUAUUGUAUUCCAAAAACUUAUGAGACGAGGGCUGAAUUUUUUAGAUGAAACUAAUUUAAUAAUAAUAAUUUUUUUGGUAAAAGAAUAUAGUAAAUCAUAAUAUUUUGAUAAAAUUGUUGCCGCGGUCGUUUAUAUUUUUUUCCCACAUUUGAUCCAUUAAAUUCUAAAAUGCUAACAUGUUAUCCUUUAGUCUUUAGAGUACACCACGUAGAGUUAGAGUACACCAUUUGCUUACGUCUCUCGUGAAAUUUGAGAGUAAGCGUUAGUGUGCUAUUUUAGGACCAACCGUAUGAAUAUGUCACUAAAAAAAGGAAAAGAAUUACAAAUAUAGUAUUUACAUCUUAUCUCAUUAUUAAUUAAAUAAUAUCGAAUGUAUUGAUAAUCAAAAGAUCUAUAUAUAUAUCUGUUACAUAACAAUUUCAUUAAGUAGUUCCUUCAAAAAAAAAUUCAUUAAGUAGUUGCUUAAUUCUCAUAUAUAUAUACAAAUUUUUAGAGCAUAAACACUCACGUCCCAAAUACAAGUGCACCCUCCAAAACAAGUACUUAACUACAUCUCACAACACUAGAGUAUAAGACAAAAGCAAAAGUCAAAUACAAAUUUAAAGAGUUUCGGACCGGUGCAUCUUGUAAUGAAGAACUAGUCUUGAUCUUCUUCUUCCUUUACAAUACUAAGCAAUGUGUGACUUCUUCAAUAUGUAUAUUUUCAACCAACACCAACAAUCUCUACCUUGAUUGAAAAUGAUACACGUGUUUCCAUCGUCGUCGAUAAUCAUAGUUCAAAGAACUAUCAUACUCCACGUAGAGAUUAUAGUUACUUGAAGCUAAAUCACUCCAAAAAAAUUACAUUGACUUCAUUGCGAGAGUACACUUCGCUUGUAGUUAAACCACUUCAAGAAUUUUCACAUAUCGAAAAUGAGGUUGAAAACUUAAGGAGCAACUUCCAUGUUGACAGGAAGCUCUUCAACCAUCAACAUAAUAUCAUAACACACUUUGCAUCAAUGUCAAUCAACACUUAUAUACUAAUCAUCACCUUGCGUAUUUCCGAUUAUAUCAAAACAUGAGGAAUGCUAGAAACACUCAUUUUUCAACACUCUCUCUAGCACUCACUCUUUUAUUGGAUGAAAUCAAUGUAUGGCCCACCACUUUGUGUGGGUUCAAUUUUCAAAGUGUAGACCCGCAAUGAUUUAAACCAAUAAACGAGUGAGUAUUAGAGAGGGUGUUCAAAAGAGAGUGUUGUUAGCAUUACUCAUCAAAACGUCAUUGAUUUGAAAAUUCCACGAGGCAAAAAUGGAUCUUCAUCAAUUUCCUAUAGAUUAAACUUCACAGCAGAAAUUGUUAUUGAAUCACUUUCACAAUACAACCUUUCUUUUACGAUGUGGAUAAUAAGACAAUGCUACCACCUUAGAACAUACUAAAAUUUUAUAUUCUUAGACCCACAAUUAUAUCCUAGUUGUGAGCUUCUCGGCUCUCGUACCUGUCGUCCAAUCCAUUAGCGUCCAGCCAUUACGAAGAGAGCCUUGGGGCAUCCACUUAAACCCUAGGCAUGGAGCCUUAAAACUUUAUCAACUUAAGCGAUUUUAACCUUAGACUGAAGCGCAUUCACUCAUAGGACGACCAUCAUGUACUUUUACUCAAGUGACCAAAGAAGCUCUCCAAAAGUUUUGAUGUCAGUAUUUGGAAAAAACCGACAUAGAGAAAAUAAAAGAACAUAAUAGAAACACAAAAGUAUAAUGUGAAAACUCCUAAAACAGAUGAAAAACCACGACUAUUGUCCAAUGACAACUAGAGAAUAACACUAUAUGCAAAUUUUUACAAUGUAUAUACUAUUUUCAAACACUCAGACUCACGACUCUAGUACACCCCCACCAUCCAAAUCAAAUAUUUAACUAUAUCUGAUAAUCAUAAAUUUAUAAAAAAAAAAAAUGUAGAUAUUAACACGGAAACUAAAAUAAUAAAGAGAGAAAGUAAAAACAUAAAGUAUAAAAGAGAAAGUAAUCAUAAAAACUGUAAUAAAAUAAUUGUAUAAAUAUUAUUUCUCUUCUCGUAUCCUAUUAUUUGGAAGUAUCCCAAGCUUUGGGGGGAGGGCAACAUGAUGAAAGCUUUGUGUGUUGCAUGUGACUAUAUAUAUGACUUUUGAAUAUAUAAUGUGAGGUUCCUUAAAAAAAUAAAUAUAUAAUGUGAGGUCUUGUGAGUACAUUCAUCUUGAUAGAGAUUCAACUCCACACUAUGGUGUAAGCUGUUGCCCAAAUUUGUAAAGUGUAACAUGUGCUUUGCUACUUUUUGUUGGGGAGUCUACUUAAAAUUAAGACCAUCCCUAAUGGUUUUUACCAUUCAACACCAUUCAACACCACUUUUUCAAUUUCCAACACUCCACAUCAUUUUCUCUCUCUUAUUCAACACUCAUUCAACUUUUACCCUCUCCAAUGGUUUUCAUUCAACACUCUACCCCACCACUUUUUAUUUCUUAUUCUUAUUUAAUUUUUGUUUUUAUAAUUACAUAAAAUUAUCGAUUAUAAUUAAAUUAAAAUAAUACAAUUAACUAUUUAUUUUUUAGUAUUUUUGAAAAAAAAAAUUUGUAAAAUAAUUUAUUUUUAUUUUCUUAAUUUAAAAUGCAAGUACAACAAACUAAGCACGCGGCACACAAAUAACUUAAAAUGCAAUACAACAAACUAAGCAUACAACACACAAGUAAUUUAUUUAGUACGAUACAAAUCAUCUUCAAUCACGAUACAUUCCAAACUUUGUCCAUAUGUGUUUCACUAGAUCUGCUUGCAAUUCGUGAUGAACAUCUGGAUCACGCAACUCGGAUCUAGCACGCACAUGAUUUGCAAAAGUUGGUAACACCUCGGUCGAGUAUGGUUGCGGUGUACUAGAUCCACUUCCCUCAGGUUGCUCAAAAUCGGUCCAACGUUGAGCAUAUGUAUCUCGUUCAUCCUCAACAAUCAUAUUAUGUAAUAUGAUGCAUGACCUCAUGAUGAUACCCAAAUCGGCUAUGUCCCACAAGCGAGCUGGUUCACGGAUGAUUUUAAAUCGAGCUUGAAGCACUCCAAAAGCACGUUCGAUGUCCUUCCGACAUCCCUCCUGAUGUUUUGCAAAUAACUUAUCGGGUUCACUUUGAGGAAGUCUAAUUGAUUUGACGAAAGUUGGAUAAGAAGGGUAGAUACCAUCAGCUAGAUAGUAUGUCAUAUUAUAGGGACGUUGAUUCACAAAGUAAUUCACCCUUGGAGCCUUUCCCUGUUCCACAUCAUCAAACACUGGUGACCGGUCUAGAACGUUUAUAUCGUUCAACGUUCCCGGACAUCCAAAAAAGGCAUGCCAGAUCCAUAGAUCAUGAGAUGCAACUGCUUCAAGAAUAACUGUGGUGGUUCCCUUAUCCCCCCUGGUGAAUUGACCUUCCCAUGCUUUAGGACAAUUUUUCCACUCCCAGUGCAUGCAGUCAAUACUCCCGAUCAUCCCUGGGAACCCCCGCAUUUCACUAACAUGUAGUAUUCUUUGAAGGUCAUCUUGGGUUGGUGCUCUCAGAUACACUUGCUCAUACAGUCGUAUGAUUCCUUUACAGAAUCUACGUAAGCACUCCAAUGCUGUAGUACCUCCUAUUUUUAUGUAUUCAUCUACCGCAUCUGCUGCCACACCAUAUGCUAACAUUCGCAUUGCUGUGGUACAUUUUGCUAACGGUGAUAUACCUUCUUUGUUGGCGGCAUCAACUCGCUGGGUGAAGUAGUUAUCACUACUUGAAAGGUCUCCAACGAUUCGAAGGAAGACAUGUUUUUGCAUCCGGUACCGACGACGAAACAUUGCAUCGUCAUAUGUAGGCUCAUUGGCAAAGUAGUCGUCAAUGAGUCUUUGGUUUGCCCCUGCAUGAUCUCUCUUUAAAUAUUUUCUACUACGAGAUCCACUACCUUCCUCUAUUUGUUUUCGACGCUGAAUAAAUCGGUUGACCAUAUACGUGUCUUCAGCAUCACGUUUUUGGAAGUAGGCUUCCAAAUCAAAAGGAUCCAUUGAUAGGUUUUUUGGAAGAAGAUAUGAAUGAGAUUUGUGAAAUUGAAAGUAGAUUUUAAUGAGACUUGUGAAAUUGAAAGUAGAUAUGAGUCCCUAUAUAUAAGUACAUUGUGUGGUGGACAUUGACGGAUUUGAAAUAAGUUAUAGUAGGUGAAAUAAUGGGCACACAGUGGACAUAAUUAUUAAAGCAAAUAAGUCACGGGGACUAGACAACACUGACAAUUAUUAAAGUAAACAUUGGGGACUAGACAACACUCUGAUAAUUAUUAAAGCAAACACUACGGACUAGACAACACUGACAAAUAAUGGGCACACAGUGGACAUAAUUAUUAAAGCAAAUAAGUCACGGGGACUAGACAACACUGACAAUUAUUAAAGUAAACAUUGGGGACUAGACAACACUCUGAUAAUUAUUAAAGCAAACACUACGGACUAGACAACACUGACAAAUAUUAAAGCAAACAGUCGGGACUAGACAACACUGAUAAUGUUGACUGAAUACAAACAAAUAUUUGAUUAAAAUUAAUUUUCAAACAGCUCACGCUCCAAAUUCUCCAACAGCUCCUUCUUCCGGUCAUCGAGAUGCUCUUCGUCCCUUAACUUUAGAUACAUUUUCAUUUUUUUAGCUUGAGUCUUUUCUUGCAGCAACUUGUUUUUCUGUUUUUUCACCAAAUUUAACUCUUUCAAUUGUUCAAUCUCUUGCUCUUUUAAUUCUUUGAAUUGAACCCAUUCCUUUUCCACCUUCUCCAAUGUCUCGCCCUUGCUUUUCAUUUUACCUUUUUUUUUAGCUGCCUCCCUACCCAUUGGACGAGCACUAGAUCCUACAGAGUCCUCGUGAGAUCUCUUAGAUCCACUACUCCCUGACCCUACAUUUCCUCCCAUCUGACUACCAUAACGUGGUUGAUCACGGAGAGCGUGCCAUUCUUCUUUCAAAGUAAAUUGAAUAUUCUUCCCACCUGCAAACAAUUCCUGCGCUUUUGUCAAAAUAUCAUCUUCCGACCAACCGCUUCCUUGCAUACGCUUAGCGCUUUCAUAAGCACCAAUCCAUUUAUUUAUUAUUUUGCUCAUAUAAUUAAAACGGUUUCGGCAGGCAACUAGAUCGCGGGGAGAAUCGAAUGAGCAAUACUCAUUACAAUACUCAGCAAUUUUACCCCAAUAUGUUUCUCCUCUCUGGUUUCUCCCGACAACACUGCUUGUUCCAUAUUUAAUCCAUGCACUUAUUAGAACCAAAUUUUGUUGAGUGUUCCAUGCUGGUUCCUUACUUCUCUUGCUCUUAGGAGUUGAAUCUUCUGGAGUGACUUCAUCAGCAACUGCCAUGCCACCAGGAGUUAUUUGUGUUGAAAAUUCAGGAUAUUGGGUUGCAUCAACACUAGGAAAAUUUUCAUUCCCCAUUGGCAUAUAACCAUUAAACGGGGGUGUUUGAGAUGGAUAUCUCAUCAUAGAUCCAUAAUAUGGAUGAAAGUUUGGAACAGAGGAUGACUGGUUGAAAUUUGGUGAAAAACCAAAAUUAGGUACGUUUUGAUGUAUGUUUUGAGGACGUUGGUUAUAAAAUUGAUUUGGAUUUGGAUAAUUGUUGGGAUUUUCGUAGUUAUAUGGGUAAUUAGAAAAAUUUUGGGUGUUGAAAUGGUUAUUAUUGGGAUCCAUUUCACAAAAAAUAAGAUUAAAACUUCACUUAGUUUGCUAAUAGAAAGAUAAUAAUAAGAUGAAGAUAGUGAAAAACUUGGUUUUUUUUUUUUUCUGUGUCCAAAUCAAAUGAUCCAAGUCUUUAUUUAUAGAUGAAAAAAAAUCAUGAAUUUUGGUAUUUUUUAUUUUUUUAAAAUUAAUUUACAACAAAAUAAUUGAGGUACAAUUAUUAAAAUGAUAAGAAUCUGGACAACCAAUUAAAACGCGCCACGUGUCCUUAUCUAUCCAAAAACCGUUUCUCUCUCCGAACCUCUGACCGCUCACGCGCCCUAUCGGCACGUGUGUUGCACGCGCCCGUUUUUGACCAAUUUUGAAGCACCACGUGGCAGGAUUAAAUGGAGUCGAAUGGAUUCAUCUUCUCUCUCUUCUAUUCCCCCAUUCAACACUUGUUAAACACAUCAUUGGAGACAAAAAUGCUGUUGAAUGGAAUAUUAAAUAGACCAUUGGAGAUGGUCUAAGAGGAAUGUUAUUUGAAGAGCUCUUUUUUGGGACAAUUUUUUGGACAACUAAAAUUUACAAAUAAAUUUAGAUAGUGACAUUAAAACCAAAACAAUAUAAAGAGAAAGUAAAAAGAGAAUGCGAGUUUGAGAGAGAAAGUUAUCACAAAAGUUGUCAAAAAUCAGUUGUUCAAAUAUCAUUUCUCUAAAAUUAAAUUGUGUUCCAUUUGAGUUAUAGGAUGGGAUGGCUCGUAGCCCAGCAUCCAAAAAUUUAUUAUAAUUUUUUUUUUUUUUUGAUAUUUUAUAGAAAUCUAAAGUUUUAAUGAACAAUCAAUCAUUUAUAGAUACUUGCGUUGAUAUUUUCAACAACAAUAAUAAUACAUUUACACCGGGGCAUAAUUCAUAGCCUUCUUUAAAAAAAUUUGUAUAAUUCAUAGCCUCUACUUUAUAUAUCAAACAAAUUUUUAAUAAAAGAUUUAAAUUUAAAUUUUAUUUAUUUAUCUAAAAAAUGAUUUAAUCAUAACAAUUCUAAUAUUACACUUCUAAAUCCAUUUGGUUCAAUCCUUAAAGACAAUUGUACCCAACAAAAUCCUUAAGAAAAUUAGUUUUCAUUUAGUUGAAAUUUUGUGAAGUUUCCCAAUAUACGAGUAUGAUUAUCUAAUCUAAGUUUAUAAAAUGUUAUUGUGUUUUCAUUUUUAACCUCGUGUUCUUUUUUGUGUGUUAAUUAUCCAGUUUUUAAGAGAAAAUGUCUAAUGAAAUCAAUGUAUGUUUAGUUCCAUUUCUAGAAUACCAAAAUUGAUUCUAGAGGUGUAAAAUUAAUUAUGACAUGUUUGAUUAUUGUCGAGUAGAAUUGAUUAUGUCCUCAAAAUUGAUUUUACUUUAAGCUAUGAUUUGUAACUUUUGAUUCUAAAAUUGAUUUUCACAUGCAUAUUUAUAGUUUAAUUCACUUUUACAUUCAUGUAUCCAAACACAAAUCUUUUUUUAGUCUUAUCAUAUCAGAAGAGUUUUUAAAAUUCUACUAACAUUCAAGAUAUCUUUUUCAAAAUGUCGUUUAAUGUCGUGAAGAAGGUGGUUAGAAUUCAAAGGGAAUUCCUUUGGGGUGGUUUAGAGGGAGGGAGGAAGAUUAGUUGGGUUAGUUGGAAGGUGGUGUGUCCACCGAAAGAGGUGGGUGGCCUUGGUGUUAGGGAUGUUUCUUUGGUGAAUUUGAGUCUUCUUGCAAAGUGGAAAUGGCGGUUAUUGCAAGGGGGUAAUACGCUUUGGAAGGAGAUUCUUGUGGAAAGAUAUGGUUCUAAGGUUGGCGAGUUUUUGGAGGAAGGGGUGGGUGUGUGGCAGACCAAUGCUUCUAGGUGGUGGAAGGAUUUGGUGUCCUUAGCUAAAGGUAAUGAGGUAGAUUGGUUUUAUGAGGACGUGAUUAGGAAGGUGGGUAAUGGUGCUACAACGGGUUUUUGGAAAACGGCGUGGAGAGGAGGUGAACCUUUUAUGAUGAAAUUACAUAGAUUAUUUUCAAUUGCAACAUUCCAAGAAGCAACGAUUCAAGAGAUGUGGAUUUCCAAUGUGGGCAGAGGGAGAUGGAGGUUUAGUUGGAGGUGUCAACUUUUCGUUUGGGAAGUUAAUCUUCUUGAUGAGUUGUUGGGGGUGUUGGAGGGUUUUGAGUUGGGAGAGGUGGAGGAUAAAUGGCGGUGGAAGUUGGAGAAAGAUGACAUCUUCACGGUGAAAUCUAUUAAUAUCAAGUUGGAGGGGAGAGGGUUGGCGGAGGUGGUGUGUCCGGAGGGUGAGAGGAGAGUGUUUAGACAAAUUUGGAAGACCGGGGCAUCGUCUAAGGUGAGGGAUUUUGUUUGGAAGGCUCUUCUUGAUUGGAUUCCGACGCGUGUUAAUUUUGGAAUCCGGAAUUGUUUACCUCCCGGUGUUGGAAGUAAUUGUGUUCAUUGUAUGGAUUUUUCCGAGUCUACCUCACAUCUUUUCCUUCAUUGUGAUUUGGCCCGGAAUGUUUGGUUGAGUUUGAUGUCUUGUUUGGAUUUGAAUUUUAUAAUGCCUCCGAACCUUUUUAUCCAUUGGAAGUGUUGGAGUGGGGGUCCUUUUAUUAAGAAAGUUCGGAACGGGUUACGAAUGAUUUGGGAGGCCGGGAUUUGGGUGAUUUGGAAGGCUAGAAAUGACCGAAUUUUUAAUAAUGUUAUUGCUAGAUGGGAUGUGCUAGUGGAGGAGGUAAAAGUGUUGUCGUGGAGAUGGUUGCUUGGAAGAUCAAAUUCUACGGUAUGCUUGUUUUAUGAGUGGAGUUGGGGUCCUCGAGAAUGCCUUUUGAGGUAAGGUUGUGGCUGUCCUAUGGUUGUUGUUUGUGGUUGACUGUUGGGGACCAGUGGUUUCGGUUUUGGCUUGCUGUCAUGACAGAACAACAGCUGUUGGUGCUGUUUCUGUCGGCUGUGCAGCGGUUUUUUGGUUCGGUUUGGGCUAUGAUAGGUGUUGCAGGUUUGGGGCAUCUGCUUGGGGUUGUUCAGAGGGUAAUGACUUAGCUAUGGGCUUGAAUUUUGGUGCUGUUAUUAGAUUUCAAAGUCAUAGCAGUUGCCAUGCCUAUGGUGUUGUGGCUGCUAUGUGCAGCUGCAACGGUUUCUGCUGGAUCUGGGCAGCUGCUGCUGUUGGUUUCCUCCAUUGGAGGCAGCGGUUGUGUUUUUGUUAUGGGGUGGUUUUUUAAGGGGUUUUUGUUCGAGACGGUGUUUUGUGGUAAUCGAUUUCCCCUUGUAAUUUGUUUUUUUUUCCACCCGAGCUUUUUAGUGCACCUUGCACGGACUUGUUGGUUAAUAAUAUUUUACAGUUUCAAAAAAAAAAAUCAAGAUAUCUUUGAUUAUAAUAUAUAAACCAUUAUUUACUCUUGAAUAGAAGACAAGCGGGCAACAAGUUGCACCGCCAAGCCUUUUUGGAUGACAAAAUCAAUUAUCGUAAACACAACAUUCAUUGACCUAGGAGACAUGACGUUGCUAUCAUAACCUUUUGAACUCUAUGUAGAAGGUCAACAACCUCUGAUGCUAGGAAACCGAAAGUGACAAAAGCAAAUGGUAUAAAAACAUGUUGAUUGUUGGAACACACUUUCUCAUGUUUGGUCACUUUGCUUGACGCCGCUUUUAGGGCUGCGCGUCCUACCAUAAAAGGCCCGACACCUAAUCGCACAAGUGGCGAAACCCCAAUCAAAUCUACACAUGCAUGUUUUUUAGUCAGAAUUACUUUUAACCAAAAUCAAUUCUUCCCACCGCACAAUCAAAUACACGCUCAGUCGGAAUAUUUGACCAAAAGAAUUUCACCUAAAAAUCAAACUCGAAUUCCCUAUAACAAUUCAUCAUUUUAUUAAAAAAAAAAUGUUAAUGUUAGUUGGCUUAAUCCAACUAUAGUGACAUUUAGAUCCGUCCACAAUGUGGGCACUCCUACCCUAGUUCCUUGUUUGGUAAACAGGACCUUAAUAUAAUCUGUACACUUAAUAAUUGGAAUCAAGAAAAAUUUAGGUCAAUUUACUUUGUUAACGUUUGUCUUCAAGGUGAAACCAAUAGUACCAAGGGCAUAGUUAGAUUAGUGACCACCGGACCAAUAAUAAAAGAAGAGUAUGUGUUGGUCACUGGACCAAUAAUAAAAAAAAGAAAUUAAAAAGCUAAUAUUCAACUCACAUGCCUUAAUGGAACUUUAGUUUAAUUGAAUCCCAUUUUUAUUGAUCCAAAAUUCUCAAUUUCACUUUUGCUUACCCAAUUUUCUACUCAAACAAAUCACAACAUAAAUGGUUGGUUUGCAUAGAGUAAUUCCAUUUAGCAACCUCAUAAAUCCACUUACAUGAAAUUGGAACUUGAGCUCAUAUAUCUAACCUAAAAUCUUAUACAAAUUUCUUAAACGAGACUUUUUAAUUAUAUAUCAAUAAAUCUACAUCAUUAUAUUUAAACCAUUUUUUUACCCCAUAAUAAAAGUAUUUAUUAGGUAUCAAGUCUACAAAAGAAAGACCAUCCCGUUGUUAAUGGUCUUAUAUAUUUCAAAUUAAAGUCACAUGACCAAACUAUAUCACAUAAAACUUAGAAUUCUGCUCUUCACGCAACUAUUCUUGCUCGUUCUCAACUGAAUUUACCAUAAUGCCUCUGCGUGAGUUAACUCACGCAGAGAUGAACACUAACGUGAGUUAACUCACACAGCGUAGGAUAAAUCACGCAGAAUUACACUAACAUGAAUUAACUCAUGCAGGGGUAUUUUCAGAUGUUUGGUUGGGAAUGAGCAAAAUGAGUUAGGAGAAGAGCAAAAUUCUAAAACUUACCACAUAACUUAAGGCCCAUUUUUUAAGACAAAACUCAAGAACAAAACUAAUGUCCUUAAGUUCAUAUAAAAGGCAUCCAGGACAAAUUAGAUAGCAACUAUAAUAAACUCUUUAACUUCUAUUUGUAUCAGCUAGCAAUCCUGGAUCUGCAUCCUACCUGCUCUUGCAACUUAUGAAAUAAGUGCUUUUCAAGCUUCCACCCCCCCUUAGAUUUCAACAUAUCUUUUCAAUAUGCUCCUUAUUCUUCUUCAGUUUAUGCAAAGUAACUUUAUAUUCUUCUUGAAAACUUUGACAUUGAGUCUUUAACAUUUUGCUUCAAUUAUCUCCCUCCUUAAACAAUCCUUCUAAGACUUCAUCUCCAAGCUUCAUCUUCUAUAAAAAAUCUUCUACAUUUUUUUUACCAAAAAGUCAAAACAAAACAAGAGAGACAUCCAUUGUCAUGUCCUAUUAUAAUUGGUUACAACCAAGGAGGAAUAUUGCAUUGCACCAUUGUUGAGAGAAAGAAAGAGACUAUUGGAGAUGAACUUGAAAGGGUCCAAUGGAAGGAGCCAUGACACAUGACAUUGGUGAAAAGGUUGUAUUCAAUCUUUCAUUGCAAAAGACAUCACACUGUACUUGUUUGUAUUUGUACAAUGACAUAACUAUAACUCACCAAAAAUGUCAUAAAAUUAUUUGGUUGUCAGUGUUCAAAUAUUUAAGUAAUUACUGUAUAAUGUGUUUAUAUGUUCAGAUUGGAUCAGAACAUAAUUAUUAUGUCAAAAUAACAUGUCAUAUUUCAAUUUACAUCAUAGUAAUAAAUUGUUGCAAUUUAUAUAUUUCCUUACAUAAUUUCAUUUAGGGUUAACCUGUGCCUCCGGGGCACUGGUUAAGGAAGCCAAAAGAAGAAAUUGUAAGUUAAAAUAGACACUUUUUAGAUUUUUAAUGUAUUGAUUACACAUCUUUCAAUACAAAAAUUACUAUAUUUACUUCCUUAACCAGUGCCCGGGAUCAUUUAUUAGUUUUGUUUAUGUAAUAAAAUUUUAAAGACAAUAUUUCUAAGCCUUGUUUUUUUUUUUUUGCUGAAGCAGAACCACCAGUAACUAGUUCUGAGUAACUAUGCCCAAAUGUUCAUGCAAAAUUACAUUAAAUUUGAGUAACUAGUCUUCUCUAAAUUUGAGAUAUCCAUAUAUCAAACAUGUGUCGGUGUGCGACACCAACACAUAAUUACAUUAAAUUAUGUAACUUUUUAAAAUUAAAAAUAUUUUAACAUCAAACAUGUGUCCAUGUCCGACACCAACACAACAUUAACACAUAAUUACAUUGAAUUAUGUAAUUUGUCUAAAUUAUUAUCGAUAUCCACGUGUCAUUGUCGGAUCUGUGUGUCCAAUAUGCGGGCCUCAAGUGCUAUGUAAGUUUAACACUAGAGUGAAAUCCACAGUGUGCAGAGCAAAAAACACAGUAUUUGUCUAAAACAAUGACAUUUGUACACAUGCAUAUGAAUAUAAUGGAUUGGUUGAGAGAAUCUACUCUCAUUAUUUACCACUCUACCAAUAUAUGAUGAUUUUACUUGAACGCCUCUGAUUUUUUAAUAUGCAUUUAACACUUCAUUUUUUUUUUCUACCUCCUUUUCUUAUUACAUCACUAAUAAUCUAUGAAGUCCGAAGAUCCAAAUACGAAGACCUACCGGUAUCUGAUACGUAUCAGAUAUCGAUACUUCACGGAUACGUAUUCACAAUACAUCAUAAUUAUUUAUUUUAAUUGUUUAAAAAUAUUUUAUCAUAUACUUAUAUGAUACUCCACAGAUACACAAAUAUUCUUAUACUUAUAAGAUACUUCACAGGUACGUAUCAUAGAAAAGAUGAAUGGUAAAAAAAUGAGACAAUGUUCUAAAAAUUCAGUGGAGAUGUAUAUGUUUUAAUUUUAGAUUGUAUCGGUAGAAUUGUUUCUCGAUAAACCACUUAAAAUUAUGCUUCUUAUUAAUGAAGGUAAUGAGGAAAUGAAGAUAUUCAAUUAAUCAAUAGUAGACAAAAUUUGUGUUGAGCUAUUUUAAUGAUACUUCUGCUGAUAUUCUAAUGUAUGAAUGAAAAUAUAAUAUGAUUUAUACGAAAAUAUUACAUUUUUUAUUUUAUUUUGAUCACAUGUAUUAUUUAAAAAAAUUGUAACUUGUAUAAUAACAUAACAAUGAAGGGUAACCAAUGCUUAUUUUCUUUAUAUAUUUUAGAUGUAUAUAUAAGUUUUAGUAUAAACAUUUUGUUAACAAAAUGCUUAUUUUGAUCAAUGAAAGAACACUCGUUAAUAAGACUUUUAAUAUAAACAUUUUGUUAACAUAUUCUAUCUAUAUCGUAUCAUAAAUUUUAAACAAUUUCCAUAUCACAUAUCUAUAUCGUAUUAUACCCAACCUCGAAUCCAUACUUCAUAGCUAAUAACAUAUCACAUUAUUCUCUUAUGGAUAUUAAAUGUGAAUAUACCAUUUUCCAAUCCUAAAAUAUAAAAUCAAAAUGGGUUCAUCACAAAGCAAGGAAAAGUGGGAAGAUACCCAUACCAUACGACUUAAAAUCCAAAGGAUGAUGCAUACAAAGUGUCUAACUACUUUAGGAGCACUACUACUACUAGAGCUAGCUUGGUGUGUAUCUAUCUGACACAAGAGAGAGAAAAAACCCUAGAGUGUGAGCUCCAGCUAUAAGAAGGAGAGUGAGGACAAAAGCACUGAAAUGAAGCAGAGGGAGGUUGGAAGAGAAAGUUAGAAUUGGACAACACAUAAGAGAGAGACCCUACAUAGAGAGAGAGAGAAAAAAAUGCUAAAGCUGCAGCAAAACAGACUCAUACGUUGGUUUCAGCGCUCAAAAUGCUACCCUCUUUCUUUCUUUACAUUCUUCCCCACCUUUAUUACCUAUCAAUUCUCAAAUCUAGUAUCACCAUACAAAAGACAAAUACUUUCUUCCAAUAUCUUAUUAUUUUGGAUUAAAUAUGUUUUUAUUCUUAUAUCUUAACUUUUCGUUUUAGUCACUCUAAAAUUUUCCUUCAACAUUUAGUCCCUAUAAAAUAUUUAAUCACUACUUUUGAUCCCUAUUUUUAAUUUAAUUUUUGUAUUUUUUAAUGAAAUUAUGCAGAACUGUGUAAAAUAUUCUAAAAAAAUUUAAUUUAAAAAAUUAGAAUUUUUUAACAAAACACAAAUUAAAUAUGAAUUUUUAACGGUAAAAAAUAUAAAAAUUCAUAUUAAAUUCAUGUUUUGUUAAAAAAUUCUGAAUUUUUUUUGGAGUGAUUCUUAUAAUAUUUUGAAUUUUUCUAGAAAAUUUAAUUAAAUAAUAUGAAUUCUACAUAUGAGUUUACUUUAAAAGAGGGACCAAAAGUGAAGAUUAAAAAUUUUAUAGGGACUAAAAAUCGAAGGAAAAUUUUAGAGGGACUAAAACGAAAAGUUGAUAUAUUUAUAGGGACCAAAAACAUAUUUAACCCUAUUAUUUUAGAAGGGAAUAAAUUCGAGAUAUUUUUUUAAAGAUAUUAAAUAAUAAAUAACUUUUUUUUUAUAAAAUUUGUGUAUUUAAUGCAUUUAAGAUUUAAGUAUUUGAUUUUUUAAAAUAUAACUUUUUACUUUUAAAACUUUAAAGAAUGUUUUAGGAACAUUUGUUAACAAAAUUCUUGUUAGAAUAUCAGGUCAAUAUCCAUAUUAUCGCAAGAGUUUAUUAUAAAUAUCGUUUUAAUAAUUUAUUUGGAUUGAUCCACCAAUGUAUACUUAGGAUCUUCAACUAUGUUCCAUUCAAGUAUUUAAUUUUAAUUCUUCUAAUGUCAAUUUUGUUCGUGGUAUGCUUGCUCAGGAUGCACAAUUGUGUGUCUCUGGGAAAGUGGAGACUGCUCAACAUUUAUUUGUUUAAUAUCCCAUAUUUAGAGAUUUAUAUAUGACAUCAUGUUCGUGAUUGGAUUGGGGUUUGUGGGGUUGAUUAGUUUACACUGCAAAUCACUUUGUUCAGUUUACUUAUUUGUUAGGAGGGGCAGCAACAAGGCGCUCCUUUAUGCAACUUUUGUGGCUGUUGUGGUUUGAACGUAAUAAUAGACGGUUUAAUAACACCCAAAAUUCUAUACAUCAGUUGGUUGAAAAGGUUCAAAUGCAUUCUUAUCGGUGUUGAAUAUCGUUGUCCAUUGUCCGACUCAGCCGGAUCUCUUCGGUUCGUCUGGAUGAAACUCACGAACGACGACGACGUGAGAACCAUGUUCUCUGUCUUUGGUCAGCACAAUACUAGAGGACCGAUCAAGUUGGACGCUUCGUUGGUUAGAUCUGCUGAACAAAUUAAAAAAAGUUUGAUCCGGCCCAGGAACUACGAAGAGAUCAGGGCUCUGCUGGAGGGACCAGAGGAAGAAGUUAGUUUAGAUGAUCCGUGAUAAUGUGCUAUGUUUUAAUUAAUUGCAUGUUUUAUGUUGUUUUAAUUACGCGUUAGUUAUAUGUUGUUGAACUAAGUUGUAUUAUGUUUUGAACAAUAUAUAUAUUAUUUAAACUUUCAUUAUGUUUUAAUUUAAGUCAAAAGUUUUUUUAAAUAUAUUAUUAUAUUCCAUACUUUAAGUGAAAAAUAUUAAGUGGAAAAUCAUAAUUAUGAAUUGUAAAGUUUUUAUUAUUAGAAUUCUCAUACAAGUUAUUUUUAUUUGACCGGUUCUAUGCUAACAAACCAUUCCUUUCACUACCAAAAAAAACCAUUCCUUUAAUCUCUCUGAGUCAUCAAAGUAUAUGUGCAGUUUUUCAUAUAGCUAUCCUUCAAAACAAUAAGUUGGCAUAGUUUUUGCAUUACUUGACUGCUUCUCAAACGUGUUGUUUAACAAAUAUCCCUAUAUUUAUGUUAUCAAUGAGUGGGUUUCAAAGAAGCUGAAUUUUUUACGUGUAUACUCCCACGUUUCAAUUAUUUGUUGCGUACACUUCCUGGUACAUUAUAUUCUUUGAGGAUUGGUUAAAUAUGGAGUUAGCAUUCUAUAUGCGAAAAUCGUUGGCUAUCAAGACAUCUUAUAUUAUCUCAUUGUUUUUGUUUUGCGGGUUUUCGUAGCAUUUUCAUCGACAUGCAGUACCACUGAGGAAACCUGGGUGUGAUCCAACCCAAGGAAAAAGACCCGAGUUCGAUUUUGAUGAUGAUGCAUUCCCUAAACAGGUACUAUUAUGGUCGGUUUGGAUAAACUAUUUAAUUAUAUGCUUAUAGCAUAAAUGCUUAUCAUACAAGUGUUUAGUAUAAGCUAUUUCAAUAAUAAAAGGGGUAGGCUGUUUUCAUAAAGAGCUUAUGAAAAUAAGUUGAAAACAACUCGUAAGCUUUGCCAAAGAGUCUUACUUAUUCUUAUGCUUGCCCUUAAUUAGUGAUUAAGAGUAUACACAUAAUCCUAAUUUGGUGGAGUUGUCCUAAUUAAUCUUUGAAUCGUAUACACAACUAGCAUUUCAUUAUAGAGAAAAAUAUAAGUUUGGUAAAGAACAUUGUAUCUAUGAAGCCCCGAUACCUGACACGAUAUGGAUACGAUACCGAUACGGUGAUACGUGAAAUUUUUCAAAAUUUCUGAUACGAUACGGUCUCGAUACGUUAUUAAAAAAUUAAAUUUAAAAUUAAUAGUAUAAGUGCACACUGUAUAAACAUAACUAAAAAUGAUAAUAAACAAACAUUCACAUUAAUGAAAAUGAUCAAAACAAGUGACAAUUACAUAUUUUUUCAGCACAAAUUAGAUAGAAUAUAACUAAACAUCGUUAGUAUUGUCCAAAGAGAACAUCACAAGUACUAUAAAAAAAGAACACUUUUGUCUAAUGUUGACUACCUAAUAGUUAACACUAAUUUAUAUCGAAAAGAAACAGUUUUUUUCCCAAUUAGAUAGAAGAACAGAAGAACAUAUCAUUAGAGUAGAAUUCAAUCGGCGGUAAUGGUUAGAAGAGGGAAUAGCUAUCGCUAUUUGGUGACGAGAAACCCUAUUUUUUUGGGAUAGAAGAGACAAAAUGUUUUUUAUAGUGCUGGCAGACUGGUAGUUUUAUUUCUAUUUUUUUUUAAAGGAAAUAUGUAAGACAGAAGUAUCGGUGUCGAAGUAUAAGUUAGCCGUGUCGGAGUACAAGUUAGCCUUAUCCAACACGUAUCAGUCUUUUUUUUUUUUCUUUCAAAAAAAUAAUAUUAAUUGCCCGAUACUUUUCCGAUACGCGUAUCGGAACGUAUCGGUAUCGGAUACGUAUCGGACACGAUUCUUCACCAUUUUUGGAGUAUCGGGGCUUUAGAGCAUUGUAUUCAUAUUGACUGCUGGUUUAGAAAGGAAAGGCUUAGCAAUAUCUGGUUGAUUCUGGUGUUUCAUAUACGAUUAUAAGGUGCAUUGAUUUCUGUCCAUAAUGUUAUUUGAUGGAAAGUAUUUGGUACAUUAUUUUGGAAUAAUGUGUCAAUUUUUUUAUUGUUUGAUCUUUUCCUUUAAUUGUAUUAUAAAUAAAAUGUUGAUACUUGUAGUUCAAGAAAUUUUUCAAUCAAUGCUACAAUAUUAUCAGGAUACAUAUUUGUUUUGAAUGAUAAAAUUUUCAGUUUUACUAAUUUUGGUUUAUAAAAGUUGUUAAUCUUGUGCCUCAUUUAGAACUAGGAUAAGAUAGGGUUGUUUAGAAUUUUAUGUGCGCCAUUUAGUUAUAUGACAAAUAUAUUAUCCAUGCUACUCUAGAAUUCUCCAUCAAAAGUAAAGGGCAUUACUGAUAAGUUUGAAUUUUACCAUAUGAUUUUUACACUCUAAAGUUGAAUCCAAAACUUUAUCUUUGUCUAAGCUUCCAUUGUAACUUCAUAUGCAAAAUGCCUGAACAAUCUAAUCUAAUAAGUAGAAACUACUUGAGUUGUUUGCAUAUCAUAUGAAGGGCGAUGAGCUGAUCUUGCAGAAGUCUGUAUUCAGGUAUCUUAUACAAAUAAUUGCUUUUUACCCGGUCUUCUAAAAGAGCAAUUCCAUCAUUUUUCAAAACUUGAAUUGGUUCACCCACAAAGGACUUUAAGGCUUGGAUUUCAAUGCCAUCGAUCGGAAUUAUCUUAAAGUCCUUCAUAUUAACAUUGUAACAAAAAUCGAGGCCUAACUGGUCCCUACAAAAUCGGUUUGUAUGGUGAGGAGUGCCUCCUCUUUAUAAACUUUUCUCAAGAAUCCUAUCUAUUCGAUGUGGGACUAAAUCCCACCGAGUGAUUGCCGCUAACAAACAUUUGAGAUUUAACCAUAAAUCUAUUAUUAGCGCUAUCUAAAGCAAGUUUACCAUAUUUUGUACCAAAAAAAAAAAAAAAGCAAGUUUACCAUAUUCAAAUUAAGUAACAUAAAACCACACAAUACUUAACUUUGUGUUAUUAGUCAAAUGAAUGACCACUUUGUAAUCAGUGGCGGAGCAAGAAAUUUUAUAGAGCCUGGGCAAGAAAAUUAUCGCAAAAUGUUACUUCCUUCCUGCGAAUAAUUUCACAUUUCCUGCGGAUAAUCUCACAUUUCCUGCGGAAUCUGCAGGAAAUCCUAAGUAAAAUCUGCAGGAAAUGUGUUUCCUGCGGAAUUUACAUAAACACUCGUAGGUAAAUCCGCAGGAAAAGCUAAAAAUUAUAGUAAUGCCUGGGCUUGCUACAAAGAAAAUUGGAGCUGAGCCUGGGCUAGUGCCCAGGCUAGCUGGGUGGUGGCUCCGCCCAUGUUUGUAAUACUGUAUUUUAUUGUAUAUAAUACUGAAGUAUUUGCUACAAGAAAAAACUGACAUUUCUUGCUAAAGAUAUUUGUUAAUCUUUUUCCUUUAAAUUUCAGGCACAUGUUUACUCUACUUUCACAAAUUCAAAUUGUCAUUUUGAAUAGUCUUAUUGUUUUCCACAAGUUCAUCAAAAAAGUUUUUGCAACCAAGCAAUUUUGCUCAAAUAGUUAAUGAGCUUCACCAAACCAUGAAUUGUUAGGAAAAACUUAAGUGUGAUUCUUGUUAAAACAAUUUUUAAGUGUGAUUCUUGUUAAAACAAUUUUUGGUCAAGCUAGCUGAACUCCAGGUUACUAAACAGAGGGUUAACAAAAAAAAGAAAAAAGAUGUUUUUGCUGUCUACAUGAAAUGAAAGUAAAUAUGUUUUUGCUCAUAUUUUUGACUAGAACUAGUCUAAGCCUAUUUUUGCUCAACGUCUUAUUUACCCCAUCUUGCUUUGUUUUUCUUGGCCACAUGAUUAUAUCAACAACGUUUUUUUUUGUUAGCUAUAAUUAUGCCUUGCCUAUUCAACAUAAAAAUCAAAUAUAAUUAUGCAUUUUUUAUAAGGCUUAAUUACUCUUUUGGUCCUUUAACUUAUUUUUUGGUUUCGUUUUGGUCCCUUAACUUAUUUUUUGAUUUCGUUUUGGUCCUUAACUCUAAUACAUUCAUCCUAACAUAAAGGACCAAAGUGGUUGACAGAGGAAGAGUUAAGGGACCAAAACGAAACCAAAAAAUAAGUUAAGGGACCAAAACGAAACUUUUAAUAGUUAAACGAAACCAAAAAAUAAGUUAAGGGACCAAAACGAAACUUUUAAUAGUUAGGGGACCAAAACGAAACCAAAAAGUAAGUUAAGAGACCAAAACGAAACUUUUAAUAGUUAAGGGAUCAAAACGAAACCAAAAAAUAAGUUAAGGGACCAAAUGAGUAAUUAAGCAUUUUUUAUAACUAAAGAUCAAAUAAAGUCAAAUUGUUUGCGUAUAAGUUUUAGGCCGUUUUCAUAAAGUAUCCUUGAAUUAUAUUUUAAAUAAAAAAUUUAUACUUUUAUUAGUCCAUUAAAUGAAGCUUUGCUAAUAUAUUAUCAGGACCAUAUUUAAUUUGGAUGAUAAACUCUAUUUUUUGAAUGAUAAACUCCAUUAAAUAAACUCUUUUUUUUUUCAAUCAAUGCUACAAUAUUAUCAGGACACAUUUAAUUUGAAUGAUAAACUCUAGUUUUUGGCAUUUUUAUAAUCUGAAAAAGAAUAAGGAAGUUUACAUUCAUCCUCACACUAAGGUUAAAUUUACGGCGGAAAACCACAAAAGUAAAGCAAAUAAUUACAAAAUGGAAUGAACUGCAAAAUUUUCUCUUAUUAAUGCAAUAUAUUUGCUUAUGGGACUGCAACACGCUUUCAGCUUGCUACUAUGAAUACCAUUUUGCUUGAUCCCUUGGUUCUUGAAGGGAAGGAAACAAACAAAGUCAUAGAAACACCCGAGACAACCCUCCCACAACAAGUCAUUUUUAGGGUCUCUUUGAUUUUGUCUCAUCUUAAUCAUUUGAGACUGUAACAUAUUAUUAUUCUCUGAAUAGGCUCGCUAAGUUGAAAACCCGAAAGGGCGGCUUAGGCAAAAAUGAGCACCCCGCUGGAUUGACAACCCGAAAAGGGCAGUUCAGGCAAAAAUGGGGCAUUGAAAAGAAUUUAUUUCCCUGGUGGAUCGAAAACCCGAAAGGGCGAUCCAGGCAAAAAUGGGAUGCAAAAAAUGAAUGAUUGAAAAUUGAGAAAAUAACAUGCAAAAAGCAUUGACCACAGAUGCGACGUCCACGAUACAUCCGGCAUUAUUCCCAGUAGAGUCUUCCGAGAUCCUAUCCCCAGCCAGUUGCAUGCCUACCUGCCCUCAGCCAGGGUUCCGAUACGUCUCCCAACGACGUCAUCUCCAAAGAGGAUUUCCAAGAAUGUGUAAUAUAGCACGAGCCACUACGUGCCCAAUACUCUAAUGUCUUGUCUUCCCCGUGAAGUCGUGCCUACAAACUGCCNNNNNNNNNNNNNNNNNNNNNNNNNNNNNNNNNNNNNNNNNNNNNNNNNNNNNNNNNNNNNNNNNNNNNNNNNNNNNNNNNNNNNNNNNNNNNNNNNNNNGAGAAUGAUCUUUUGAUUAAGGAUGGCUUCUUCCAAAUUUAGGCUUCGUUCGUUUCUUAAAUUCCUAAGUUUUUCUUUUUUUAAUCAGCAAAUAUUAUUAGGCACGGCUAGCACAACGAGCGCUUGNCCGGCAAGGAGGAAAAGGAGUACAAUUAGGCACCACUAAAAUACGGCAGUGCUCCAACAACUACACAACUCAAAAAAAAAAAAAAAAAAAAAAAAAAAAAAAAAAACCCUAUGAACCCAACUCAAAAAACGAGCAGGCACUAAAACAAAACUAUGAACAAUAGAAACCAAACAGGAAAAACACCUAACAAACAGACCAACAGCACUCCUUCCUAUAGAAGCAGAAGCUAACUGCAUACACCAUAACUGAAAACCAGCACCACAAUAGACUGUUAUAACCAGAGAAACGCGACUGCAUAACAACCAGAAGGCGACCAAACAGCCGCACAACCAAAGAAGCCAGCAUCACCGCAACAAACAAACCUUCGGAUUCCAAUUCCACUCAUAAAACAAACACGCGUGCGAAUUCAACCUACCCAAAAAUCACCUCCAAGACAACACCUUAAAAGAUUCCAACAGCUUCUCCACAUCUGUCACAAUAUUGUUGAAAAUUAUGUCAUUCCUCGCUUUCCAAAUACUCCAAAUUGCGGCAUGCCAAAUUAAUCUACCACCCCAGCGCAGCUUUUUGUUCAAAAACUCACCAUUCCAACAUUCCCGCAUAAUAAACAGAUUAAGAGGGAUUAAAAAAUUAAAUUCCAACCACUCCAUAAGCUUACACCAGACCUUACCAACCCCUUCGCAAUGAAGAAAAAGAUGUGUUAAAUCUUUAAUCGAAUUGUUGCACCAAACACACUGAAGAGAGCUAUCCGGUGGGAGCGAGUUCCUUAUAGCAAGGUUGAUCUUUGUUGGGAUUCUAAAAACCAUCACUUCCGACGGUGCCGGGCUCUUCCAAAUAUGCGAAAAAACCUUCGUCGGGAGACCAUCAAGACCAUCCUCCCUUAUCAUCAAUGUUUCCAAUUUAGAAUAAAUUUAUUUUAUUGACAAAGCACCUUCCUCAUCCAACCUCCAAAUCCAAUCAUCCCCCUCCUCGCCCAACACAAACCCAUUCAAAUCUUCUAACAAAUCGUGAAGAAGUAAAUCCUCCCACACAAAAAGGUCCCUUCUUCAACUAAAAGCCCACCAACCUUCAAGACCGUCUCUCUCCCAUAAAUCUCCAAUAAAAGCCUCUUUCUGAUUAGACAAGGAGAACAAUCUUGGAUAUUUCACCCUAAAGGAACUAUUACACAUCCAAACCUCAUUUCAAAAGCUCGUAGUCUGCCCAUUACCAACUCCCCGCAACAUCUCCGAGUUAAACCAAUUAAGCCCAUCUCCAUCUCCCAAGUUGACAACGUCCUUCCACCACCGAGAUGCAUAGUUAGGACAAUUAGCACCCUUUAGUAAUAAAGGUUCACCAACACCCUGACCAUAUUUCUCCCUAUCUCCAUCUCCCAAUCUUGAUGGUUAUGUAAUGUUAUUUUUUUGGCUAUGUAAUGACUUAUGAACAUCAAAUAUAUGACUUAUGAUGGUAUGCAAAUGUUUGUCUUUUUAUAAUCAAAGAGUCUGUCUUUUACUUUUUACUUUGUUUAGCAAAUAUAUGCACCAUGGAUCACAGUGAUAUCUGUUGUGAAAAUUCAAGGACCUAUUUGAUGGUAUUUUCACUAAUUUGAGGAUCGAUAUGAUGGAUAUGCAUAUAAUUCAAGGACCAAUUUGAUUGAAAUUUUUUGACAGAAAGGUUUGAUUCAUUCAUUGACAACCUCUUUUCAUUACAACAUUACAUGGACUUGGCACAAUACAAUAACAUUUUAAACAAUUCAAUCAAACAAAAUACUCCUAUCAAUAUCUUAAUCAACCUAAGCUCACUUCCUACACGAUCAACUUUAUCCAUCAACCUUGUCCUCCAAACCUCUUCUCUGCCCCUAUCCUUUGGCUUCUCCAUCAACCUUGCAUUUCUUCCAUGACCAACAUCAUUGUUUUUAAAAUAACCUAGUUCUUCAACUUCAUCAACCCACAAAAAAAUAUUACAAUUUUCACCAUCAUCCUAUACAAUCAAAGGACAAAUUCAGUACUAUUUAAACAAACCAUUCACACAUCACAUAACCAUUGUUAAACAAAACUUUGGCAGAGGACAGACAUAGAAAGGCCUUCCUAGGUUAUUGACAGUGUUGGCUUUUCUUACAACACAAAUUCUAGGACACCAACAUUGAAGUUAUCUCACCUCAUCAUUGUACAUAGAGCUUGAAGAUGAAGACCGACUGUUGUAGUUGUUUUUGCCCAGACGUCCACCACCCAUCAUUUUUGAACACCGAAUCUUCAACGAUGACUACUGAUUUUUGAAUUUUGAAUUGAAUCAAAAAAAGUUAGGGUUUUAAGUUUUUUGAAUUGGGGAAGAACAUUGACAUCAAUUCAUGGAAGAAAUUUGGGGGAUUUUGAACUCUAAGUGACAAAUUAUAACAUUAAGGUUCCAAUUUAUAUAUUUGGGGAAGAAAGAGAUGUUAAUGAGGAAGAGGAGAAAGAGCCGUUAAUAAGAAAGAGGAGAAAAAGCAGUUGGCAAUUUUCUGAAAAUCCAUCAAUUUGGUCCUUGGCAAUUUUCUGUAAAUCAAUUAAUUUGGUCCCUGCUUGCGUGGCAAGCCUUGUAAGAGGUUAACGUUACACGUCACCUCCGUUAACAGAGCAACUUAAACGGAGGGACUGAUUUGAUUGACAUUUUGUAAAUUCAGGGACAAAAUAGCUAUUUUGCAAAAUUCAUGGACGAAUUUGGCCGAUUUUUGAAAAUUCAAGGACGAAGUUUAGGUAUUAGUCAAUAAAAGAGUGAGUGUUAGAGAGAGUGUUAGAAAGAGAGAGUUCAUAUAUAGCACUCCUCUUUAACCCAAUAAAUAAGUGUUAGAUAAUGUUGCAAGCACUACUCAAAAUAAAAUAAAAUAAAUAAGGGUGCAUUUGUUUCAAGUUAUAUUUGCAAUGCAUAUUCCUACGUGAUUUGGUAAGGGAUAAUGUACAAUAUGUGCGGGAUCAUGGUUCGAACGCUGGACACCCCACUUAUUCAUCUAUAAGAUGAAUUUCUCUAACCACUAGACUACUUGACAAAAAAAAAGAUAGAAUUAUGCAUAUCUAGAUUUGUUACAAGUUUAAUAAAUUUUAAUCCCGCGUAUAAAACGUUCCUGGGAAUAGAAAAAAAUUUCCCAAAGAAAAGGGUAGGAAUAAAGUUCUCAUAGAGAUGAGAAUAAGUUCAUAUGUAAUUACAUAUUAUAAUCCAUAUUUUUAUGGUUCUCGUGAAUAUUAUACUGUUAAACAAACAUUUUUUUCUAUAUACCUUAGAAUAAAAUUCUUAUCUUUAUAUUCCAAAAAAUGUUAUUCCUAAAAAUAAAUUUGAUAAAUUUGAAACAAACUACUCAAAUUUAAAUACAUUAUAAAAAUUAUACUAACAUAAACUUUGAAUUUCCACAAAGAAACAUACUUUCAAUUAAAUCAAGUAUAAAGAUUUGUUUCUUUAUAAGCCUAGCUAGAGAGAGGAGAAUAUUUUCAUAACAACCCUAGCACAUUAAUAAACUCAAUAAAUAAAUCCUUUCUUAACCCACCAAAUUAGUUACAAUGUUUCCUUCUUUAGACCCAACAUUCAUUUAAACCCUAUCUUCUUUCUCCCCAAUCCAACGGCNNNNNNNNNNNNNNNNNNNNNNNNNNNNNNNNNNNNNNNNNNNNNNNNNNNNNNNNNNNNNNNNNNNNNNNNNNNNNNNNNNNNNNNNNNNNNNNNNNNNUUCGAUUCUCAUAAAACAGGAUUAGUUACACAUGGGAAUGAUAAACUAGCCAAAUAUAUGGCACGGAUGACCAGAAUUUUACACAUGUGUGACCACUAUUUUUUCAUAAAUUAGAACUUGUCCGUCCUUAGGCGUGAUGAACGUGCAUGUUGUAAAACUAAUUAUUUCUGGUUGGAAAGGCUUUUAGUGCAGUGUUCAGAUGAGAUUAUGUGUUUGAUUCUCAUAAAACAGGAUUAGUUACACAUGGGAAUGAUAAACUAGCCAAAUAUAUGGCACGCAUGACCAGAAUUUUACACAUGUGUGACCACUAUUUUUGCAUAAAUUAGAACUUGUCCGACAUUAGGCGUGAUGAACGUGCAUGUUGUAAAACUAAUUAUUUCUGGUUGGAAAGGCUUUUAGUGCAGUGUUCAGAUGAGAUUAUGUGUUCGAUUCUCAUAAAACAGGAUUAGUUACACAUGGGAAUGAUAAACUAGCCAAAUAUAUGGCACGCAUGACCAGAAUUUUACACAUGUGUGACCACUAUUUUUGCAUAAAUUAGAACUUGUCCGACAUUAGGCGUGAUGAACGUGCAUGUUGUAAAACUAAUUAUUUCUGGUUGGAAAGGCUUUUAGUGCAGUGUUCAGAUGAGAUUAUGUGUUCGAUUCUCAUAAAACAGGAUUAGUUACACAUGGGAAUGAUAAACUAGCCAAAUAUAUGGCACGUAUGACCAGAAUUUUACACAUGUGUGACCACUAAUUUUUCAUAAAUUAGAACUUGUCCGACAUUAGGCGUGAUGAACGUGCAUGUUGUAAAACUAAUUAUUUCUGGUUGGAAAGGCUUUUAGUGCAGUGUUCAGAUGAAAUUAUGUGUUCGAUUCUCAUAAAACAGGAUUAGUACACAUGGGAAUGAUAAACUAGCCAAAUAUAUGGCACGGAUGACCAGAAUUUACACAUGUGUGACCAAUAUUUUUCAUAAAUUAGAACUUGUCCGUCAUUAGGCGUGAUGAACGUGCAUGUUGUAAAACUAAUUAUUUCUGGUUGGAAAGGCUUUUAGUGCAGUGUUCAGAUGAGAUUAUGUGUUCGAUUCUCAUAAAACAGGAUUAGUUACACAUGGGAAUGAUAAACUAGCCAAAUAUAUGGCACGCAUGACCAGAAUUUUACACAUGUGUGACCACUAUUUUUGCAUAAAUUAGAACUUGUCCGACAUUAGGCGUGAUGAACGUGCAUGUUGUAAAACUAAUUAUUUCUGGUUGGAAAGGCUUUUAGUGCAGUGUUCAGAUGAGAUUAUGUGUUCGAUUCUCAUAAAACAGGAUUAGUUACACAUGGGAAUGAUAAACUAGCCAAAUAUAUGGCACGUAUGACCAGAAUUUUACACAUGUGUGACCACUAUUUUUUCAUAAAUUAGAACUUGUCCGACAUUAGGCGUGAUGAACGUGCAUGUUGUAAAACUAAUUAUUUCUGGUUGGAAAGGCUUUUAGUGCAGUGUUCAGAUGAGAUUAUGUGUUCGAUUCUCAUAAAACAGGAUUAGUUACACAUGGGAAUGAUAAACUAGCCAAAUAUAUGGCACGUAUGACCAGAAUUUUACACAUGUGUGACCACUAAUUUUUCAUAAAUUAGAACUUGUCCUACAUUAGGCGUGAUGAACGUGCAUGUUGUAAAACUAAUUAUUUCUGGUUGGAAAGGCUUUUAGUGCAGUGUUCAGAUGAAAUUAUGUGUUCGAUUCUCAUAAAACAGGAUUAGUUACACAUGGGAAUGAUAAACUAGCCAAAUAUAUGGCACGGAUGACCAGAAUUUUACACAUGUGUGACCACUAUUUUUUCAUAAAUUAGAACUUGUCCGUCCUUAGGCGUGAUGAACGUGCAUGUUGUAAAACUAAUUAUUUCUGGUUGGAAAGGCUUUUAGUGCAGUGUUCAGAUGAGAUUAUGUGUUUGAUUCUCAUAAAACAGGAUUAGUUACACAUGGGAAUGAUAAACUAGCCAAAUAUAUGGCACGCAUGACCAGAAUUUUACACAUGUGUGACCACUAUUUUUGCAUAAAUUAGAACUUGUCCGACAUUAGGCGUGAUGAACGUGCAUGUUGUAAAACUAAUUAUUUCUGGUUGGAAAGGCUUUUAGUGCAGUGUUCAGAUGAGAUUAUGUGUUCGAUUCUCAUAAAACAGGAUUAGUUACACAUGGGAAUGAUAAACUAGCCAAAUAUAUGGCACGCAUGACCAGAAUUUUACACAUGUGUGACCACUAUUUUUGCAUAAAUUAGAACUUGUCCGACAUUAGGCGUGAUGAACGUGCAUGUUGUAAAACUAAUUAUUUCUGGUUGGAAAGGCUUUUAGUGCAGUGUUCAGAUGAGAUUAUGUGUUCGAUUCUCAUAAAACAGGAUUAGUUACACAUGGGAAUGAUAAACUAGCCAAAUAUAUGGCACGUAUGACCAGAAUUUUACACAUGUGUGACNNNNNNNNNNNNNNNNNNNNNNNNNNNNNNNNNNNNNNNNNNNNNNNNNNNNNNNNNNNNNNNNNNNNNNNNNNNNNNNNNNNNNNNNNNNNNNNNNNNNGUUUCUUUAUAAGCCUAGCUAGAGAGAGGAGAAUAUUUUCAUAACAACCCUAGCACAUUAAUAAACUCAAUAAAUAAAUCCUUUCUUAACCCACCAAAUUAGUUACAAUGUUUCCUUCUUUAGACCCAACAUUCAUUUAAACCCUAUCUUCUUUCUCCCCAAUCCAACGGCUACAAAUCAAUCCAACAUUUAUCGCCGUCACGACUUAAGUGCCGUUUGAGGUUCAAACUUUGAUUCCCCUAACGCCGUUAAUUAACGUAGCAACAAAAACACGCCACACACUUCUAACGGUAAGUAACGGCAACGUCGGUGAUAAACGUUAUACGCAACAAUUCAUAAAAAAUAAAUAAAUAUAUAAAUUCGUUUUUUUUGUUUAUUAUUAUUAAAAUUAAAAUUCAAUUUCAAUUUUCCAUUGAUUCAACGUUCGAGGUUUUUUUUCGAAACCUUAGCUUCGUAGAGAGAACAACAACAACAAUUUUGCUUUGUCUUUGUUCUAUGAGCUUCACUUCAAUUCCCGCCACUGCUUAGGUACUUCUUCUUCUUCUUCACUCUUCGAAGAAUUUCAAGAUUUCUGUUUUUUUUUUUUUUUGAAAAUUGAGGUUUUUUUUUGUUUGAUUUGAUUGAGUUUUUGUGUUUUGUUAUGGUAAAAAACGGUUUUUUUUAUUGGUUUUGUUUUGGAUAAAGAUUUUUAUUUUUUAUUUUUUUGGGAAAAAAUUGAAGGUUUUGAUUUGAUUAUAGAUUUUGAGAUCUGGGUUUUGUUUGUGUUUGUGUAAAAGUGUGAAAGUUUGGAUUUUUUUGGAAAUUGAGGUUGGUUUUUAGGGUUUUUGAUGUUUGGUAAUUGAUGGGUUUUUAGGGAUUGAAGGUUUUGGUUGAAGGAUAUGGAUGAGUUUGAAUCAGAGGUUUGUUGUUUGGAGAAUAAACAAUCAACUGUUGCUUCUUGCUCAUCUGUGUCUGAAGGCAGUGAUAGUAUAAUUCAAAAGUCUCCGGGGAUAUGUAGCCCCACGGCUACAUCCACAUCGCCCUCACAUCGGUAAUGUUUGUUAUGUUAUUUACUUUUUUGGUUGCAGUUGUAAUUAUGGAUAAUGAUCAUGAUGGUGUAGGAUAGUAUGAUGUAAUAUACAUGUUUUAUGCCAAAUCUGCUAUUGGUUUAAUUUCACAUUCUACAAUAGUAGCUGAUUCACUUUUGGCAAAUCUUUGAUGUGGCGUUCAUGCACUGAUUUACACCGUAUAUGUUUGUACAGGAGGACAACAGGUCCUAUAAGGCGUGCUAAGGGUGGUUGGACAGCAGAGGAGGUUAGUCUUUGCUGAUUGGAGACAUCUGUUUUUUUUCUCGUUCGAGAAAAGCGGAUUGAAUUGGGAAUUUUGCUAAUUUGAUUUAACGUCUUUGACAAUUACCAUUUACCUCUGCUUGCAUAUAAGUUAAUAUUAACUGUUCUUAUUGUGUUCUUCAAUUUAUUGUAGGAUGAGACAUUAAGGAAUGCCGUUGCAGCUUUUAAGGGAAAGCAUUGGAAGAAAAUAGGUAACUAUUUACCUGAGUUAAUGCAUUUGACAAAUUGCUGACCCCACUUAGUGGAAUAAAGCUUGGUUGUUGCUGUUGAAUGCAUUUGACAAACUGAAAUCACUUAUUAUUGCUACAUCUUUUCUUCCAUGGACACAUUUAGUCAAUAAUUCUGUGAUGAUGAUCUUUGUAUGUGAUUUACAAAUUUAUGAAGUAAAUGUGUAUCAUGAGGAGGGGGUGGGGGUUGAAUUGUGACCUAGUCUCUUCACUGAAACAGUAUCCUCCAAAGAGGGUUAGUUGCUGAAUCGAUAAAUGUAACCUAGUCUUAUGGAGAGGGAGUUACUAGAAUCAGAGUUAAUGGUGAAAGGGUUUUAUGUGUCUUUGUAUAUCUGAAUCUGAAUGCAAAUGGUUUAUACUCACAAUGUUUGCAAUAUCUCUGUUUUAAGAGUUUUUUUUUUUAAAAUGUUGCUACAAGUAACCUUACUUUAACCACCUAUCUACUUACACCUAGCACGCCAAACCUGGCUUUGCACAAACUGGAUAUUUUUUUCAGCCUCGGCAGGCUUUGUCCACUUCAGCUCUUUUUACGCAGAGCUAACUCGUGUAGAUUGUACUUUGACCAUACGUAUGUUCUCAAUGUGAAAAAGAGGUCGAUGAUCCUGAUUCAUCUUAUAGAUCAUAUACUCUGGAGGACUCAGAGUAUAUGAUGGAAAAAUAGAAAGAUCUAUGCCACAGUUUUCAAGUGGGCUGGGUGAAAUUUAGAAGUGCUUUGAUGGUGUUUUCAAUGUGUAGAAUAGAUCCAGUCAUCACCUGUUUUAAAAUAGAAAAUUCAGCCGACAUUUAUUCUUAAAGGAACCUGAAAAUUAUCAUUAUGAAACUGUUGCGCUGUUAUAUAAAAAUUAUGUGAUUAUUAUUUAUGGGAGGAGUGCUAUGGAUACUCUCUUUCUAACACUCAUUCUCUUAUUGGGUGAAUUUCAACCAAUAAAAGAGUGAGUGUUAGAAAGAUAGUGUUCCUAACAUUUCUCUAUUUAUGGUUUUCUUUGUACUAGGGUGGAGCCAGAGAUUAUACUGCAGUUGAAAGACAAAUAUAUUAUUCAAUAGAUAUAGGCUUGAAAAAUUCUUUUUGUUUGUUUCGAUUCUUCAGGAUGCAGAAUAUUUAGAAUGAAAACCACUAAAAUUAGAACUUCAAACUUUUAUUUACGUUGUUCAUUGUAAUAUUUGAUUGGUUUAAAUAUGAUUUUAGUCCAUGCAAUUAUAGUGUUUUUUGGUUUUAAUCCCUAUAUUUUUUUUGUUUAGAUUCAAUCCCUGAAAAUGCAAAAGUUGUUGCUUUUUAGUCCCUGAUGUCAAACAUGGUCUAAUAAAAUCUUGCCACGUGGCCUAGUAAGCUGAUGUCAGGAACUAAAAGCAACAAUUUUUGAAUUUGCAGGGACUGAAACCAAACAAAUAACUUAGAGGGACUAAAACCAAAAACACUAUAAUUGUAGGGACUAAAGUCAUAUUUAAACUAUUUGUUUUAAAUUGUUCUGUGACGAAGAAUCAUCAUAUGUUUGAACACUUUUAUUUGUUCAUGUGCCUCACUACCAAGUGCUUAAUGAAAGCAUAUGCUCACACUGGUUUUAAAUGUGGAAUGCAGCUGAGUUUUUUGCUGAUAGAUCAGAAGUUCAAUGUCUGCACAGAUGGCAAAAGGUUCUCAAUCCAGAACUUGUUAAAGGACCAUGGACACAAGAGGUUGAAACCUAGUUCUUUUCUUCUUUCCAAAUUUUUCUACAGUUUUGUUCAAACCCUAACUUCUUUGGCUUGGCUUACAGGAGGAUGAUAAAAUUGUUGAACUGGUGGCAAAAUACGGGCCUACAAAAUGGUCCUUGAUUGCCAAGUCUUUGCCUGGUCGAAUAGGGAAACAGUGUCGAGAAAGGUAGGUUAGCUGAAGUUUGUGUCAUUUAUUAUUUGUGCAUCUUUUUAAAUAAUUUUACUGAUAAAAGAUGUUGUUUUCCAUAUCAUUAAAUAUAAAUUUUUCUUGCAUAUCAUCAACUUUUGAAGAUCUUAAAAAAUACAAUUUUAAAUUGAUGACUUGAUUAGUAUAACUUGCUUUCAAUAUUUACAACUCGAAUCAUACUGGUUUUUCCUUUUCUAAUGUUUUCAGGUGGCACAAUCAUCUCAAUCCUGAUAUAAAGAAGGAUGCCUGGACUUUGGAAGAGGAACUAGCCUUGAUGAAUGCUCAUCGUAUACAUGGGAACAAAUGGGCUGAAAUAGCUAAGGUCCUUCCUGGAAGGUAUACUUUCUUAUUAAUUCUUUAGUUAUUCUAAAGGAAAUUAAGGUCAUAACUAAUAUAAUGGAAUGAUAUCUCUACGUUACCAUGAUAAUUGUGAAGUAUCAUCCAGGAUUAGUGGCCGCAAAAAUUUUCCACCUGAUUUCAUUUUCUUUUGUUACUAUAGUAGUGGUGGUGGUAUUUGGAUUUAUUUUUCUUUCUCUCUUUCUUAAUUACAGAUUAAUGAAAGAUAUAUUUUAUCUGUCUUGUUCUAGUGAUUUGUUAGUUGAAUCCCUGUGAAAUUUAUGUUUGAACCAGAAAAGAUAGGACAACAGAUUGAGUAUAUACAACCUCUGAGAACUAGUUGUAAGAUAUAUAUUGUGAUGUGAAAUAGCAUACCAUUUUAUCUAUAUUUAUGACAAAAUGCUAACAUUCAUCUUCGGUAUUUUUUUUUUCUUCUGCAGGACUGAUAAUGCAAUAAAGAACCACUGGAAUAGUUCUUUGAAGAAGAAGUUAGAUUUCUACUUAGCCACAGGAAAACUUCCACCAAUUCCAAAAAGCAAUCCACUAGUUGCUGCCAAAGAUACAAUUAAACGUUCUGCUUCUAAAACAAUACUUGUUUCAUCUAAUAAAGAACUAAAUGUGGCUGUUGAAGCAUCGUCUGAAACUACAGCCAUUAGUAAGCCAGAUGACAGUGGCAAGAUUCAGUUUGAGUCCUCAGGAACAGCUAGAGAAGUUGGUGAUUCUUCAAGUCUCCCGGCAAAUGAAUCUGCUGAUUCUGACUGUGUAGAAGGCAAGCCUGGACCAUCCAAUGUGGAUCUUAGCUGUGGAAACUCAGAGCAUAUAUCAAGAGCUAAUUUUGGAACAACUUACGGGCCAAAAUAUGAGAAUUCUGCACUCAAUGGAAACUCAAUAACUGAGCAUUGUUUAAACAAUGGUAAAAUGAGAAAUAGUAGUAGCGGGUUAAUCCGGACAUCUACACAAGAAAAUCAGACUUGCGGUUCUUUGUGUUACGAGCCACCACUUUUAGCUGGUUCAGUUCCUUUAGAUUCUCUUCAUUUAAGUAUUCUCUGCAUGCAGAAUGAUUACUGUUCUAAGUUGUCACCCAUUGGUUACACCACUCCACCUCGCGCGAGGGUUAGUGAAUUAUGUACGGAGACCCCUGAAUCUAUAUUGAGAAAGGCUGCUAAUACUUAUCCAAAUACUCCUUCCAUAUUUAGGAGGAGAAGAACUGGAGUCCAACCACUAACUUCUCCUAGUAAAGUUUUAAAAGUCGACAAUGAUUCACAUGCUUCUAAUGAACCAUAUAGAACCAAGAAUAAUUCUGAUUCUGAAGCUCAGACAUUGUCUGAGAGUCCCGCAAGCCGUGACAAUAAUAAGGCUUUCAAUGCAUCGCCGCCAUACCGGUUAAGAACCAAACGGACAGCAGUUGUCAAGUCUGUCGAGAAACAACUUGAGUUUGCGUUUGACAAAGAGAAGAAUGAUGACAACAUGAGUGCAAUGGAAAAAUCUACAAAGAGGAGCAAUGUUAUGACUGAGGAUCGUCUGCAUGAAAGAAAAUUGGUUGCUACGUAGUGCACAAAUUGUAAGUUUUUGUUGCUCUUUAAAUGCACCAUAUUGUUUUCCUGCUUAAGCUAUAUGGUAUCGUAUUGUUAUUUGACAUGAUUAUAUCAUUUUGUUUACUUAAAAAGAUAUUAGUUGUCUAUCAAAUUGGUAGCAAUAUCUUUUGCAUUGAAUUACUUCUUUUUGCCGAGAGUCAUAGUCCUGUCAGUAUUGAAUUGUAAGUACUUACAAAUUUGAGUGCUUGCGGGUUUUCCUCAAGCAAUCCAAUUAAUUUGAGUUGGCUUCUAAAGCCUUAGUUCUUAAGCCGUGAGAGUCUCUGGCCAUAAUUGUCAUGCCGAGAGACCAUAGCUGUGAUGAAAAAUAUCUCGAAAACCCUAAACUUCGUGACCUACUCUGACAAAGUGUUAAGAACCCGUGAUUUGAAUUCCUAUGAAAGAACACUUUUUUUUAAGAAAUAUGAUAGAAUAGGAGAGAAUCUCUCCUCCAAGGAUUUUCCCCUCACAUUAUAGUUGAUACUCUAUUAAAAAACUUUACAAUAUUCAAUUAUCUCUAAUUAGCCCCCCCAUUUAUAAAAGAUAAUCCUAACUACCACAUUGACUAAUAACUUCCCCAACUAACUCCUUAACUACUCAGAUAUCAUUUAUUAUAUCCUACACAAAACUCAUCCAUUAGACUUGUCAUUUCCUAUUUAAAAAAUGGGGCUAUUUCGUCAAUUUCCAUCUUCUUUUCUCCAUGUUCUCUAUUCGAUUCUGCUUCUUUCUUUUUUGCUGCAACUUUUUCAGCAUUCAAAUGCGACGACAAGCACCGCCGGCGGACAACCAUCACAUUCCCGUACAUCUUUUCAAGUUGUGCGCCCCUUCCAAAACUCAUUCACCUUCUCAUCAUGCUUUCCGAUUACUAUAAACGAGACCGAAUGAAACUAUCACUGUACGGUUCUCCGGCGGUGUGAGGGAGAAGAGGAAUUCGCCGGCGGUGGAGUUGUAGAUCUGAACGGAAGAUCAAAGCAUGGUUACCGAUGAGGACGAUGGUGGUGAGAAGGAAAGUGGUGUGGGGAAGUAGAGAGAACGCCGUAGAUCUCACUGGAGAGAAGAGGUCAUGGUGGGUGAGAGUUGCAAAGACCAGAAAGAAGAAAAAGAAGAAAGAGAAAAUUAAAAGAAAAAAAAAAAAAAAAAGAAGUAAAAACUUGAAUAUGUAUACGAUCGUGUCGUAUAUUUGUCUCGUUUUUGUGUUCAUUUAUCAAAACUCUUUUUAAAUUACGGACACUAUGAAAUGUUUUUUAGAAAGUAACAUAUUAACAUGAUAAACGAUCAUAUAAUACUUCAAUCACACUUAAUUUAUUUUAGAAAAACAUUAUAUAAUACUUCAAGCUUCCUUUUCAAACAACGUCGAUACUAUUGUUUGGAGUCUGAGUCAAGUCAAUUCUAUCCAUGUUUUUUAGGCAAUUUGUUCUUUUCAUUGAUGAAUUUUCUCAAUGUAAAGAGUUGUCUUCUAUUUUCAAGAACUUGUGGCGAAAUAAGGAAAUCAAUCUGGUCAUUCUGUUCACUAGUGAUAAUACAAAAGUAUAUUUUUCAGCUCUAUUUAAUGCCUUCAUGGCAUCAUGUGGUUUGACUCAUCUAUCUACAACAUACAACAUGCUCACAUAAUGAUGACAUAAAAUGUAGAAUACAUGGUCCCAUCCAUUAUUGACAAUGCUUACAUUCUUCUGCUGCCUGCUAAUGCACCUUUAAAAUUAUGGGGUGUUGAAGUUCUUACUGCUGGUUACUUAAACAAUGGGAUCUCAUUGAAAGUUUUAAUUAAGACAAUGCCUUAUUCUCCCUUUAGAUGAUAGGUUUAGUUAGGCGAUAUAUAUUUUGCUAUGUAUUAUUAUUUAUCGCUAAGAGGCGUUUCUCUCAAGGAAUUCAACUGAUUCAUGUUUACCUUUAUUUCAUUCAGCAUCAGAUGAUAUAUUCUUCUUGCAGUUUUUGUUUACUGAUCAAAUUUUGGCAUAAGCUGUGAUGAAUCCUAAUAACUCUUCUGAAUUGAUGCAGGGGUUUUUAUAGUAGCUGGACUUGCUCUUGAAACUGGUUGAUUGUUUCUCUAAAUUGAUAGACAAAGUUUACCACUUUUUACGAAAUUAAUUCAGAUUGCAGAGUCAAAAUGACUUGGCGUUGGUGCUUUUGUUUCCAUCACACAUCAACAUAAUUCAGCAACAGUAGAUGUCUACUAUGUGUAGAAUAAGGAUUGAUAAACUCCAUUUACUUGUUUAUAGAUAUGUUAUUAUUUUUGUACAGUUACAUCUUAGGAAAAAUAAAUGUUCUUAAGUUUCAUCAUUGUUUUGAGGAGAAGUUUCAUCAUUGUUGAGAUUUUUUUUUUUUUUUUCAAACUCUUAAUUGAAAUGAUUUACAGCCUUAAAAUGCAAAUAAGUGUAAGCACCAGGUACUUUACACUGAAAAUGCUGUGAUAAGCAGCCAAAGGUGUUGCAAUUUUAGACUGGAAAUAGAGAGCAUGCUUAUCAUGAAAUAAUCAUCAAAUUCAAGGAUAAUUAAUGCAAAGGUGUCAUUUAUACUUUGUUUGGUUUCUUGGAAGCUAUGAACUGCUUGAAGCCUACUGUUUGUUAUGAGAAAUUGAUUUUCACUUCUUUUUUUGUUAUUUAUUUUAUUUUAAAUUAUUUUCACUGUUCCAAAAUUUGAAAACAAUUCUUUUUUUGAGAACAGUUGAUGAUAGAACAAAAAUUAAUCUUUUUGUAAUUAUUAGUAUAUUUACAAAAUAGCAAUAGAUGGGGAUGUUUUUUUUUUUUAGCAAAGGAAUAGAUGGGGAUGUUUGGAUGAAGGUUUCUAAUUGCAUUACAUUUUUAAUGAAAAUAAAAAACUGAUAAUUCUUUUUUGCUGAAAUGUACUUUUGGCCCUCUUAUUAAAAACUUGAUUUUUCUGUAUAAAAUUAUGGGGAUAAAAAAUGCAUUUAUUUUUUUAGAAUACUCAUUUUUUGCCAAUACUUUUACGGUACUCUUUUGUGACAUUUAAAUUAGGCUUAAUUGUACUUUUGGCCCUCUAUCUUUCUAAAAGUUGCGAUUUUGACCCCUUAAUUAAUUAAAAUACAAAACAACCCCCUAUGUAUUGGAUCUUUGGCAAUUUUGGCCCCCAAUGCUACUUUUAUUAGUCUUUGCUGACGUGGCACUCACAAUGGUCGACAUGUGGCACCUCACUUAAGGGAUAUGGGUGCCACAUCAGCGAAGACUAAUCAAUAGUGCAAUUAAGUCUUUAAAUUACAAUGAACCAUUUCUAAAAGUUUGAGAUGGAGCAAUGUUAUCUGAACAUUUAAAACAUCAUAUAAAAAUAAGUUAGUUGUAACAAAAAAAAGUUUUUAGCAGACUCUUUACCCUUCUUGGGAUGUAAGUCAUCCAUGAGUUCUUGCCUAUGAACCCUCAAAGAACAAGGAAACUCAUCUAGCUGAAGGGUAGCUUGAUCUAUUGAUAAUGAUACUGAAGUUGCUAAUUAUUUGUUCAACAGUUUCCACCAUCUUAAACAUUUCAUUCUGAUUGAACAAUGAGUUGAUGUUUUUGCCUCUAUCACUUGGUUAGUUCCAUCGUGGUUAACUUUUAAGGCAUCCCAAGUUUCUUUUGCAAUCCAAAGAUUAUUUAUUUUACGGUUAAAUGAGUUUUUGGUCCUUAUAAAUACAUAAUUUAUUUUAAUCUCUAAAAAAAAAUUCAAACAAUAGUUUCCCAAAUGUUUUAUGUCGAUAAAAUUGGUUAUCAUUAGGAAUGUGAAUAGGCUAGGCCGGCCUACAAGAGCUUAUGGCUUAGUCUACGACAGGUCAGGUCAGGCUAGACUUUUUUUCCAAGUAGAGUAGACUUAGGCUUUUGUAAAAGUCUAUUUAGCUAAAAAGAUCAGAUCAUAGGCCAUAAAAAAAACCUCCUAGGCCUACCAGGCUGGCUUACUUAAGUAAAUAUGAAUAAUAUUGUUUAUUAUUAAUAUUAUUAUAUAAUAUUUUGCCCUUUGAAUUAAAUUAUAAAUUUGCUAACGUUUUUAGUAAUUUAAGUUUAUUAGUAUAAUUUGUUUUUUGGCCUAUUCAAAUGUAUUAUUAUAAACUAGAAUUGAAAUAUGAUAUAUAAUAUAUAAUCAAAUUCUCUAAAAAAUUCUUGUUAAAUAUAAAAAAAAUGAGUUUAAUUUAAUUGAUCUAUUAGUUCGUUAGUUGAUUAAAACUUAAAUCACAUUAUUUAUUUAAAGAUGUUUAUAUGAAAUAGGAUUUUAACCAAGCUAACAGUCAAAACCAGACUUUCGACAUGCCAGACUCAGGCUUAAAAAAUAAGUCUAUGACAAGUCGUCGGCAAGACUUAUGCCUCAGAAAAAUUUGACAGACCAGUCUAAAGCCUUGCAAAGCCUAACUCGACCUAACCUAUUUUCACCCCUAGUCAUCAUUGUUAAAAGUUGCAUACUGACAUGACACUGUAUAGGAAAACUAAAAAUGAAAUAUAGAUUUUUUUUUUUGACUAAAAAAUGAAAUAUAGUUUUACUCUUUUGGUACAAGAAACAUAGUAUAUUUAUAGGGAACAAAAACUUAUCUAACAUCAAAAUUUGGUCCUUAUAUCACCUAUAAAUAUACUUUUUCCCUAUAUACAUUGCCACCUUUAACUUUAUUUUAACAGCGACGACCAAAUUUAUUGAGGCAAACAUUUGGGAUAAUUGUUUGGAGAAAUAUUAUAUUUAUAGAGAACAAAAACUUAUUUAAUCAUUUAUUUUAUCAACUCUACUUUUACUAAGAGCAUAUACAGUAGAGUAUGCAAAAUUGGAGUUCAACAAUAUUUGUUUUACUUAAUGUAUGACAACUGAAAUUGGAUUUCUUGGUCAAGUGAUAAUCCACUUAACUAAGUGAUAAUCAACAAUAUUUCAGUUGAUUAUCACUUCAGUUGGAGCUUUAUAAAAGUUGGAGCUAAAAUAAAAGUGAUAAUCCCUUUUAUAACACCAACUAAGAAAAUAGACGAUAUUUGAGCUUUAGCUUUGUAACAGAAAAGUACAAUCCUUAUACUUGUUUAUGCACAAUUGCAAUUGUCAUUUAUUUGGACAGAUCAUGUAGAAGGAUAACCCUGACUUCAACAGAAGCAUGGUAUCUUCUAAAUAACUUAGGUCUUGAUAAUUUUGCCAAUAUAUUUGAGUACUCAACGCAAAGAUCACUUUUUUUAUGAACUAAAUCUCUUAUUUCAGAAUGCUAAAUCUUACAACCAUGGUAAGGAUAGAAAACACCCAGAAUAGAGUUAAUCGAGUAAUAAUGUAAUAUUAGGGUUGAACUUGUGAAAACAUGACAGGCGAAUUUCAAAAAUUAACAACGAAAUUUUUAAUGAUUCCAUUGCACUCUUUUCAUCUAUUCACGCAGAUAAACAUAGUAGUUCCACAAUUCAUGACUAAACAACUUCAUUUUAUAACUUCAUUGGCAAUGUGGCUCUUAUGUNAUUCAAAACGCAAUUUCACACGGAAAACUCAAAUUGGAAACCCAGCUCAUCAACAAAUACUAGCAUAAUUAAAAGGGCAUUCCAAUAAAAUCAUUUUCCUUUUAAUUUUCUAAAAUAUGAAGAAAAAUCAUUUCACAUUUCAUCACUUUAGAGACUGAAAACAGCCCAAAAUUUGCUGUUAGUAUAAAAGCAUCAUUUCUCAAAUAUCUGCAACCAAGGAAAGACGGGAUGAUCCAACCAAAAAACCGAGUUAGAGAGAAGAGGGGGGAGUCAACAUAGUCUUCCUAUACUUACUAAACUAUUGAUGAUAUAUGUACACAUGUAUGUACACCUAUCUAAUAAAGAUCUACUUUAUGCUAAGCAGAAUUAAGCUUGCAAUUUUGUUAGCAUGGAAAUUCCAACAACCAGCAGGUAGAUUCUCCCCACAGGAGCCAAGGUCCAAAGUUUUCCGCACCAAGUAUAUAUCAUUCUACAAACACGUGAAAAGAUAUAGU
rnacentral:lncRNA from 1 species